rnacentral:lncRNA from 1 species
GCUUUCCCGUGUAAAUAUUUUUUCUUUCUUCUUUGGGUCGUAAGGAGAAGACCACGAUGACAUGCUGAGUGGCUCUCAUAUUCAUUAGCGUUUAUCUAUCAGAGAGUCCACAUUAGCUCGUCUUCUCCUUUGAGUUAUUGCUUGCAGAUUCCAGCUUACUCCAAUGCACGAACACUCCUAUUAUUAUUUUUCACACCGUUUGGUCGUGCAAGUGAAACACAAUAAUGGCGAUAUAUGAUGAAGUGACUGAGAUGGAGAAAAGAUGGUAUGAACUCAACCUAUCUUGUUUUUAUAAAUAUGAUUAGCUCAUCGUUCUGGAUUCAGCUCAUUAUGGGUUGAACAUGUUUGCAAUGGCAAUUAGAUAUUAUAAUUACUUAUGCCAUGCUUAAUUAUCUAGGAGUGAAUAAUGGUUUGUCUUGAGUGCCAACAUACAUAUUAAAAUGGUUGUGAUGUAGUAUGAUAGAAUGGUAUCAUCCUCCGAAUGAUUCGAGUGGCUUGACUUGGCACAUGUUCAUGCAUGUAGUUAAAACAAAAUCAACAUAGCCUCUACGAUGUUUAUGUUCAUAGUGAUUUAUAUCCUACUCAUUCUUGCAUUCAAUGUUGGUUAAUCUCAAAGCAUGUUUAUGAUUGUUGUCGCUCUCUAGUUGGUCACUUCCGAGUCUUUUGCUAGCCUUCACUUGUACUAAGCGGGAAUACUGCUUGUGCAUCCAUCCUCAUAAACCCAAAAUUAUUCCAUAUGAGUCCAGCAUACCUACCUAUAUGCAGUAUUCACCUGCCUUCCUAAGUAAAUUUGCAUGUGCCAUACUCUAAACCUUCAAAUAAAUAUUCUGUUUUGUACGCUCGAAUCGCUGAUGUAGUGACUAGGGGCUAUCAGUAUCUUCCAUUCUAUGUGGGUUAUUCUCAAGAUAUGUGUUGAUUCACUAUCAUUCACGAGAAAGUGGCUGGUAAUCGGGAUGCCCAGUUCCAUGCUCAAAAUUCAAAACAAAUUUAAUGAAACAACACCCCCCCCCCAGGAUUGAUGUUUGUAUGGACGGUAUCCGUGGAUGAGGCUCGCCAUGGAAUGUGAUUGAUCGGUGGAGGGGGAGUAAAAACUUUACUAUUCUGUUUGGGAACCGCCUAUAAUGUAUUUAGCAUGGAAGAUAUCGAGAACUCGUAGUUGUUACAUUGACAAUGAAAGCAUACCACCCAAAAUUUUGAUUCAUCUCUGUUUUAAAAAGCUCGAGCUAUGGUACCUCUGCAAAUCAAUGUUUCCCUCUGCGAAGGGUCUAUCUAUUUUACUUUACUGUUGAGUCAUCCUCUUCUUAUAAAAAGGCACCAGUUAGAGAGAGCCCCUCUCAUUUGUAUUCUUUGUUAUUAAUUGAUAUUGAGUAUGAUUAUGACUGGAUCUCUUUUACCAUGAAUUACAAUGUCUAGUCAGUACUUGUUCUUUGAAGGUGCUCUGCAUUUAUGUUUUGCGGUCUCAGAAAGGACUAGUGAGAUACGAGUUUAUCAUAUUGUAUUACGAUUGUUUUGAUAAAUUGUUGUCAUCCGAGACUUAUUAUUAUUUCUCGCUAGUUGAUUAUACCAUUGAUAUAAGUAAACAUGAGACCUAAGUAUUAUUGUGAAUGUGGUUAGUCCAUAACCUGAGCUAAAAAUCUGAACAUUAGUUAGACAUAUUUAUAACAACAAGAUCAAACAGAGUUUGUAAAACUUUUCUUUAUCACUUUCAGUUUAUCAACUGAAUUUCUUGAGGACAAGCAAAGGUUUAAGCUUGGGGGAGUUGAUACGUCUCCAACGUAUCUACUUUUCCAAAUUCUUUUGCCCUUGUUUUGGACUCUAGUUUGCAUGAUUGUAAUGGAACUAACCAGGACUGACGCAAUUUUCAGCAGAAUUGCCUUGGUGUUAUUUUUGUGCAGAAAUGAAAGUUCUUUAAUUGACCUAAAAAUUUACGGAGAGUAUCUCUGGAUUUAAUCAAAAUACCGGCGAAAUAAUCUACCGGAGAGGGGCCACCCGCAGGCCACAAGCCUGCACGCCCCCUCCCCCCUAGGCCCCGCCCAAGUCUUUUCCACUCCUAUAUAUUUCCAUCUGAGGAGAAAAAUAUCAAGGAGAAUAAAUCAUCAUGUUUUAUGAUACGGAGCCAUCGCCACCUCGUGUUCUUCCUUGGGAGGGCAGAUCUGCACUCUGAUUAUUUGGGCUCCAGAGAGGGGAAAUCGACGCCGUCAUCAUCACCAACCAUCCUUCAUCACCAAUUUCAUGAUGCUCCACAUCAUUCAUGAGCUAGUAUUGUUAGGGUUUGAUCUCUAGUAUCCACUAUGUUCUGCAAUUGGUGUUGCUCUGACUCUGCUAUGCUUAAUGCUUGUCACUAGGGCCCGAGUGCCAUGAUUUCAGAUCUGAACCUAUUAUGUUUUCAUGAAUAUAUAUGUGUUUUUGAUCCUAUCUUGCAAGUUAUAGACACCUAUUACGAGUUAUGAUUCGCAUCCCCCAGGGUGACUAUAACUGGGAUUCUUUUCGGUGAUUACCGUAGUUUGAGGAGUUCAUUUAUUCACUAAGUGCUAAUGCUUUGGUCUGGUUCUCUAUUAAAAGGAGGCCUUAAUAUCCCUUAGUUUGCAUUAGGAUCCUGCUGCCACAGGAGGGUAGGACAAAAGAUGUCAUGCAAGUUCUUUUCCAUAAGCACGUAUGACUAUAUAUGGAAUACCUGCCUACAUUACAUUGAUAAAUUGGAGCUAGUUAUGUAUCACCCUAUGUUGUGACUGUUGCAUGAUAAUGCCAUCCCACAUAAUUAUCCAUCACUGAUCCAUUGCCUACGAGCUUUCCACAUAUUGGUAUUUGCUAAGUUACUUUUUCACUGCUAUUGUUAUGAUCACUACAAAACUGCUACUGUUACGUUUGUCACCGUUACCGCUACUUCCAUACUACUUUGCUACUAAAUACUUUGUUGCAGAUAUUAAGUCUUUCAGGUGUGGUUGAAUUGACAACUCAGCUUCUAAUACUCGAGAAUAUUCUUUGGCUCCCUUUGUGUCGAAUCAAUAAAUUUGGAUUGAAUACUCUACCCUCGAAAGCUGUUGCGAUCCCCUAUACUUGUGGGUUAUCAAGACAGCCUUUGCAAACAAAGUACACUAUGUCAGUAAAACUAAAAUCACUUAACUCGCAGAAUUUUCAUACACUAAUUUUGAGUUUGCUUUUGUACUGGUUGAGUUAACUGACAGCAAGUAACAACAACAAAGAGAAAAGGAGCAAUACUCUUAUUCAGGUAACAAUACUUUCAUAAGAAAAUCAACUUCACUAAUUUUCAGUUAACAAAAAAUUCCUCAGACCCACACUUACAUUGCUCCUAAAUGAGCUUCACUUAACAAUACUUGAUUUUCAACAGGAGUAUGAACCAAAGGAGCUAACUACUGUACAAUUUUCAGUUAAAUGUACAUGUACCUUCUUCAUAGAGUAGAGGAGCAAUAGCAAUAGUAGCACGACACAGUGAGUUGGAUUAGUAUUGUUUUGAUCAGAUGUAGAGGAGCAGCAGCAACACGGGCAGUGAAGCAAAAGCAGAACAUGCAGUGGAGAAGAAGCAGCACGGGUAGAGCUCCACCGGCGGCAGGGAUAAGUAGAGGAGAAUUAGAAGCGCGGGCGCAUGGGCAGAGAAGAAGGAGCAGCACGAUGGCGCACAAAGACACUCGCGCGAGCUCCUUUUCCAACAUAUCAUGGAGGCCAUGCAGAUCUCGAGAAAGACUCGUGAGAGAUAGAGGAGAAGAGCGCGAGCUCCUGGUCCAGCAGAUUGUGGAGGCCAGUUCCGGCAAUGCCCGUAGGUGAUCACGUGGGAGGGAUCAUGGCGCACACGAGGCAGCUCAAGGAGGGCUAGCGGGAGCUCGAGGAGGAUGAGUGGGAACUCAUGCUCCACUGGGUCGUGGUGGGAAAUUCCGGCAACACCCACAAGUAAUCACAGCGGGAGGGAAUCACGGUGGCGCAGGUCUGAGCAGUGGUGGCGGAGUAGGUACUUGGCGACGACGGUUACAGGGCAGAUACGUGGUGACGGAGGUGGAGCACUUCGUGGAUGGUGUAAAAUCACACAGCUUGGCGCCGCUCUCCCCUCGUGACGCGCGGGCUACAAUGAAGGAAGAAGACGGGGUGAAGCGACUUGUUUGUGACGGUUUGAAACUGUGAGUUUUUUUUUGCAAAAUUAGCAUUGAACUGCGCUCGCGACAAGAAUUACGAGACGGGGGGAGUAUUAGAGUAGUACACCUACUUAGAAGGAGCAAUACAUUCGGAAAUGAACAAAAGUGUGCGCGCACUUAUUAGAGAGAACGAGCAGCCACCUUGCCACUCACAUGCAUAUGUACUUUUUUUGUUUGUUAGUGCAUGUGGUUGUUUGCAUUACAUGUGGUCAGAAUUGACAUGUCGGAAGGAAAACGACGAAUUCCUUGUGUAUUUAUUCUGGAUUUUUAACUUUUUAAAAAUCCAUAUCUUUCAAACCGCGCCUCAAAAUUCAGAUCCGUCUUUGUUAUUGGAUUCCUCGCGACGAGAUCUUUGAAACUAGAUCUUGCAUGGGUAUGUUUUCACGAAAUAAUUUUGAUGCCAACUUUGAUGCUAUUUGGUGCAACUUUAGUGCUGCAUUGUGCAUCUUUAGUAUUGCAUGGUGCAACUUUUUCUCAAAAUGAAUUUCUGGAGCUGUGUGAUCUAACUUUCUAUGAGUUUGCAACCUAGCAGCCAUGACAACCUAAUGUGCAACUAGUCUACUGCCCCGGCCAACUACUAGUAGUCGAUGUGCAACCCUCAUUUGUACUUGCCCCACCUACAAUACCAGCGAUGAGAAAGGUGUAACAACACCCGGGUGCCUAGGCACCCUCUAUGAACAGUGAAAUCAAAAAAAUAGAAAAAAAGUUUGAAAAAAUCUAAAACUUUGCAACAUAUAAGAUGGUUAAAAUUUAUAGGUUCUUACAAGUUUUCAUGUCAAAAUAUUAUGUAGAGGAAGGUGUACAAACAAGGUUCAGGUUUCAGUGCUAAAAGUGUUCAAAAUUUGAACUACGGAAAAAAAAUCCUGGGUAGAGCUCAUCAAAUGUUUUUUUUUUGACAUGAAAACGUGUAAGCACCUAAAUUUUUUUAUCAUCUUUGAUCUUGCAAAGUUUCAAUUUUUUUCUAUUUGUUUCGGUGUUACUGUUCAUAGAGGGUGCCUAGGCACCCGGGUGCUGAAAAUCCACUCUCUACCAGCAAUAUGUGCUACUUAGUCUGUUGUUCAAGCCAACUAUCUAUUAGUUGAUGUGCAACUCCUAUCCCUCCCUACUUGUGAAUAUGUAGUUUCACUUGGCGGGGGUAACAUACGUAGUUGCACAUAGUCUGUUAGGCAGUUGGCCGGGGUAACAUACGAAGUUGCACAUCACACAAGCAAGGAUAGUUGGAUUGUGAAAAUUCCACAUUCAUGAGGGGGAGUGAAAAGUUGCAUAUAAACAUGGCCUAAAGUUACACAUCUCGCUAAUAGGGAUGGUUUGGACCGGGUGCUAGCAGGGAAACCACACAUUUACGGGGGGUACAAGGGAAAGUUGCACAUAAUUGUUAAACACUUGGCUGUGGUAGUAUCCGAAGUUGCACAUCCACUAUUAAACAGUUGGCCGAUGGAGCGAACAGUGAAAGCGCAAGCACAGGCACAAACAAGGUGUAAAUAUGCCCUGGAGGCAAUAAUAAAUUAGUUAUUAUCAUGUUUUUUUCUUCAUGAUAAUUGUUUAUUAUCCAUUCUAUAAUUUUAUUGAUUGGAGACUCAAGUACAUGUGUGGAUACAUAGACAACACUAUGUCCCUAAUGAGCCUCUACUAGACUAGCUCGUUGAUCAAAGAUGGCUAAGGUUUCCUAGCCAUAGACAUGAGUUGUCAUUUUAUAAUGGGAUCACAUCAUUAGGAGAAUGAUGUGAUGGAAAGGGCCCAAACCUUAAGCAUGGCGUUUGAUUGUAUCUAGUUUACUGUUAUUGCUUUGUGCAUGCCAAUGUAUUUGUUCCUAUGACCAUGAUAUCAUGCAACUCACCGACACCGAAGGAAUGUCUUGUGUCUAUCAAACAUCACAACAUAAUUGGGUGACUAUAAAGAUACUCUAUAUGUAUCUCUGAGGGUGUCUGUGGAGUUGGGAUGGAUCAAGACUGGUAUUUGUCACUCCGUAUGACGGAGAGGUAUCUCGGGGCCCACUCGGUAAUACAACAUCACAUUAAGCUUGCAUGCNNNNNNNNNNNNNNNNNNNNNNNNNNNNNNNNNNNNNNNNNNNNNNNNNNNNNNNNNNNNNNNNNNNNNNNNNNNNNNNNNNNNNNNNNNNNNNNNNNNNUCAUCAUCACCCUCGGGCAUUAGUGGCACCCGACGGGGUUUUCAUAAACUCUUUAUUUAACUCAUCAUUAUGCUUGUGAUAGUAUGCUCUAUCAUUACUUGUCAACAUGGUAAAACAUGACCCUCACGAGGUAGGGUCAGGCUCAAUGCAAUGAUCUUACUUUACUAGUCAACAUGACAGUAGCAUGAUCCUCGUAGAUGGUAGGGUCAGCUCAUCAUGUUUGUGCUCCGAGGAUCCAUGUGAAUAUCAUUACUAUCAAUGCAAGUGCUUCGAAGAAGCCUUCGGUGCCAUCACCACAAUGAUGAACCGACAUCGUGAUCACAUGCAACGGGAAAAUACUUGUUAUACUAGCAUGCAUCAUUUUAUAUACUUAAGUCAUGGCAAAAGGGCUGCUUGCCUUGGUCAGCUAGGUAUCCGGGGUUUUCGAGGUCUUCCGCUCCGGAUCCUCCGUCACUCGGUAACUCUACCGUCAAGAAAGGAAUAAAUAAAUACUAGUUCUCACUAAAAUAGAUCACAAAGUGCUUUUAAAAAUGUUGCAAGGCUUGAAUAAAUUCAGUUUAUUAUUUUGGAAAAUGUAUCUUAUAGUUUUAUUUGCUAAGCAUAUUUAUUUAAAAGCAAACACAAGCAAACAAGUGCUUUUUAAUAUCAUUUUAUUAGAUCAAAAUAGUUUCUGUUUUUGAUAAAUGUCAACUAUUACAGAAUCAAAUACUACUCAUUUUUAGAAAAUUACUGGUGGAAGAAUUAUAUUUUUCUACUGGCUAAAUCUUUUUAUAAAAAUCAUUUAAGUUACUGGAUUAAAAUAAAAGGAAAAGUCCAGUGGAACAGAUCCAGCCGGCCCAGCCAGCAGGCCUGGCCACGAGGCACGCGCGGGCCAGGUUCAAACCUGACCUGCGGGCCCUUGGGGUCAGCGUCAGCGGCUGCGCGCGUUGGCUGCCCCAGGACACCGACAGGUGGGCUCCACCUGUCGGGUCCUUCUCCUACCUCCAGCCAGAGAGGUGGAGAUGGACGCCGGCGAGGAUGCCGUUGUCCUCAGGCAAAUCUAGGAACGGGAACGGGUCCCUCGUGCCUCCGCCUACCUGUUCAUGGUCGGGACGUCACCGGAGGUGGUCCGGGUCACCGGUGAUGAGGUGCCGGCGGUGGAAGGGUUUCGGGUUGGUGUUGAACUAGGGGCUAGGGGCACGGAUUCGCUCGGGGAAGUUAGGGGAAAUGUUCCUAGUGUCAAGGGGAGUGUAAUGGGAGGUCGGGCAGCGCAGGAGCCGACGUGUAGCCGGAGAUCGACCGGAGCUCCGAGGCGGAGGGGCCUCGGUCGAUCUCGAGCGCUGGGGCUCUGCGAGCUCGAUUGGGUGGNNNNNNNNNNNNNNNNNNNNNNNNNNNNNNNNNNNNNNNNNNNNNNNNNNNNNNNNNNNNNNNNNNNNNNNNNNNNNNNNNNNNNNNNNNNNNNNNNNNNCCCAUGUGUCCUCGGGAGCACUUUGCUUUAUAUAAGAGUUUGUCCAUGCUUGUCCUUUGCUACAAAAAGGAUUGGGACACCUUUUUGUACCUUUAUUACACUUGUUACUUGUUACCUGUUACAAAUACCUUAUCACAAAACUAUCUGUCACCGACAAUUUCAGUGCUUGCACAGAAUACCUUACUACGAAUUGCUUGUCAUUUCCUUCUGCUCCUCGUUGGGUUCUACACUCUUACUUAUCGAAAGGACUACGCUAGAUCCCAUACACUUAUGGGUCAUCAAUUGCCAGCCUUCUUAACUACCAAGUAUCUAGAACAGUCCCGCUUCGGGGAUCGUUCCGAUCAUAAUAGAAGCACUUAGUCUCGGGUUUGGGUUCAACCUUGGGUUUCUUCAUUGGAGUGAUAACAGACUUGUCAUUCUUGAAGUUUCCCUUCUUGCCCUUGCCCUUCUUGAAACUAGUGGUUUUACUAACCNNNNNNNNNNNNNNNNNNNNNNNNNNNNNNNNNNNNNNNNNNNNNNNNNNNNNNNNNNNNNNNNNNNNNNNNNNNNNNNNNNNNNNNNNNNNNNNNNNNNNNNNNNNNNNNNNNNNNNNNNNNNNNNNNNNNNNNNNNNNNNNNNNUAGUGGUUUUACUAACCAUCAAUACUUUAUGCUCUUUCUUGAUUUCUACCUUUGCGGUGUCAAACAUCUCGAAUAGCUCAGGGAUCAUCUUCUACAGCCCUGAUAUGCUAUACUUCAUCACGAAGCUCCAGUAGCUUGGUCGCAGCGACUUUGGGGAACUAUGUCAAUCACUAUCUUAUCUGGUAGAUCAACUCCCACUUGAUUCAAGUGAUUGUAGUACCCAGACAAUCUCAGCACAUGCUCACCAAUUGAUCCAUUCUCAUUCAUCUUGUAGGGANNNNNNNNNNNNNNNNNNNNNNNNNNNNNNNNNNNNNNNNNNNNNNNNNNNNNNNNNNNNNNNNNNNNNNNNNNNNNNNNNNNNNNNNNNNNNNNNNNNNUGAAAAAUAACAAAUGAUGUUAGAAAGGGUUGUAAAUUAUUGAUGUGGCUUCGAAUGGUGCAUUUUGAACACAGAAAAACUAUGGAGUUCAAAUAAGUUCAAAAAAAUGAAAUCCCUUUGUAACAGACGAGUUUNNNNNNNNNNNNNNNNNNNNNNNNNNNNNNNNNNNNNNNNNNNNNNNNNNNNNNNNNNNNNNNNNNNNNNNNNNNNNNNNNNNNNNNNNNNNNNNNNNNNNNNNNNNNNNNNNNNNNNNNNNNNNNNNNNNNNNNNNNNNNNNNNNNNNNNNNNNNNNNNNNNNNNNNNNNNNNNNNNNNUUAUAGCUCAAAAUAAUAACUAAAUGCAUGAAAAAUAACAAACGAAGUCAGAAAGGGUUGUAAAUUGAUGACGUGGCUUUGAAUGGUGCAUUUUGAACACAUAAAAACUAUGGAGUUCAAAUAAGUUCAAAAAAUGAAAUCCCUUUGUAACAGACGAGUUUCCGUAUGAAACCCUGAUACUUUGAAAGAGAUUGUCCGUUNUUAUAGCUCAAAAUAAUUAGUAAAUGCAUGAAAAAUAACUAAUGAAGUUAGAAAGGGUUGUAAAUUGAUGAUGUGGCUUUGAAUGGUGCAUUCUGAGCACUAAAAAACUAUGGAGUUCAAAUAAGUUCAAAAAAUGAAAUCCCUUUGUAACAGACGAGUUUCCGUAUGAAACCCUGAUACUUCCAAAGAGAUUGUCCGUUUNNNNNNNNNNNNNNNNNNNNNNNNNNNNNNNNNNNNNNNNNNNNNNNNNNNNNNNNNNNNNNNNNNNNNNNNNNNNNNNNNNNNNNNNNNNNNNNNNNNNNNNNNNNNNNNNNNNNNNNNNNNNNNNNNNNNNNNNNNNNNNNNNNNNNNNNNNNNNNNNNNNNNNNNNNNNNNNNNNNNNNNNNNNNNNNNNNNNNUGCCGUAACCCUCUCAAUUUUCUUGCAUAUGCUAUGUGGAUGAAAUGAUGAUACCAUGCCAAAAUAAAAGAGAGGCACAAUGCUCACCUGCACGUUGCUUAGCUUCAAGCCAACGUGGAGGUGAGCACUGCGCUUCUCCCUUCAUCGUCUCUACACUCAGGGCUUAUAAACCGCUGCGAGUGCCUCUCGCUUGGCGAGGUGGGACUAAGAAACAGUUGCACAAAGAAUCAACUAAAAAACUCUUUUACCAGUUCAUGCCACGAACCGGUACUAAAAGGUGCUCGUGGGGCCCCAGCCUUAGAACCUGUACCAAAUAAAAUGCCUUUGUAACAGCCUUAGAACUGGUACUAAAGGAAUCAACUAAAAAGCUUUUAUAAACCUCUAGUAUUAUUGAAACUAAAAUUAUAUAGAAUUUUGUUACAAACUUUAAUAGCAAAAAGAAUUAUCAUAAAAGAAAAUAAAUAAGUAAUUAGAAUUUUGUUCAAAACUUUAAUAGCAAAAAGAAUUAUCAUAAAAGAAAAUAAAUAAGUAAUUAGAAUUUUGUUCAAAACAUUAAAAGCAAAAAAGAAUUAUCAUAAAAGAAAAUAAAUAAGUAAUUAGAAUUUUGUUACAAACUUUAAUAGCAAAAAUAAUUAUCGUAAAAGAAAACAAAUAAGUAAUUAGAAACAAAAAAGAAAGCAAAAAACAGGGGAAAAAAUAAAAAAAAAGUGCCACCUACAGGGCCAUCACGACCUGCAUACGUCUAGAAACCCACUACUAGGGCCAGGAUGCAGGCCCGCAGUAGGCUCAAUAGGCCCACAAGCACAGAGAGUGAUUUUAGGCCCGUAAGCCUGAAGUAGAGAGGAGCUUGAAGUGGUUGGUUCGGCAGGGCUUAUAAACCACUCCGAGCCUCUCUCGGCUAGCGAGGUGGGACUAAACAUAGCACUGCACCGCGCAAGGCCUUUGGUCUCGGUUGGUGGCACCAACCGGGACUAAAGGGAGGCAUUGGUACCGGUUGGUGCCACCAACCGUGACCAAAGGCCUCUGCUUCCCGCCCUUUGGGCUGCUGAAAAGAGACCUUUGGUCCCGGUUUGUGCCACCAACCGGUACCAAUGCCUCUGCUUCCCGCCCGUGGGGCUGCUGAAAAGAGACCUUUGGUCCCGGUUGGUGCAACCAACCGGGACUAAAGGUGGGGCUAUAUAAGCGACAGUUUAGAAAUUUUGAUCUCUCCCCCUCUCUCCAUUCGAUCCCGACGCCGCCAGGCCGCCCGUCUCGCCGUCGCCGUCGUCGUUGUCGCCCCGCCCCGCCCCGACACCGUCNNNNNNNNNNNNNNNNNNNNNNNNNNNNNNNNNNNNNNNNNNNNNNNNNNNNNNNNNNNNNNNNNNNNNNNNNNNNNNNNNNNNNNNNNNNNNNNNNNNNUGAUAUGUGGGUGGACCGGUGCUUGGGUACUGCCCUUACUUGGACAAGCAUCCCACUUAUAAUUAACCCCUCUCGCAAGCAUCCGCAACUACGAAAUAAGAAUUAAGACAAAGUCUAACCAUAGCAUUAAACUAGUGGAUCCAAAUCAGCCCCUUGUGAAGCAACGCAUAAAGUAGGGUUUAAGCUUAUGUCACUCUAGCAACCCAUCAUCUACUUACUACUUCCCAAUGCCUUCAUAUAGGCCCAAAUAAUGGUGAAGUGUUAUGUAGUCGACGUUCACAUAACACCACUAGAGGAAAAACAACAUACAACAUAUCAAAUUACCGAACGAAUACCAAAUUCACAUGACUACUAUUAGCAUGACUUAUCCCAUGUCCUCGGGAACAAAAGUAACUACUCACAAAGCAUAAUCAUAUUCAUGACCAGAGAGGUAAUGAGUAGCAUCAAGGAUCUGAACGUAAACUCUUCCACCAAGCAAUCCAACUAGCAUCAACUACAAAGAGUAAUCAACGCUACUAGCAACCUUACAAGUACCAUCGGGGUCGCGAGACGGAGAUUGGUUACAAGUGAUGAACUAGGGUUUGGAGAUGAGAUGGUGCUGAUGAAGAUGUUGAUGGUGAUGAGUCCCCUCCGAUGAGAGAGGAGUGUUGUUCAUGACGAUGGCGACGAUUUCCCCCUCCGGGAGGGAAGUUUCCCCGCAGGAUCGUCCUGCCGGAGCUCUAGAUUGGUUCUGCUCAAGUUCCGCCUCGUGGCGGCGGCGAAACCACGAAAAAGCUCCUCCUUGAUUUUUUCCUGGACGAAACCCUCCAUAUAGCAAAAGAGGGGGGCAAGUGGGCCAGCAGGGUGCCCACAAGCCCCCAUGGCGCGACCUGGGGGGGUGGCCGCGCCGUGCAGGCUUGUGGCCACCCCCUAGCGCCCCUGUGGCACUUCUUCGGCCCAGUAUUUUUGAUAAAUCGGAAAAAAUCCUUGUUGAUUUUUACGGCGUUUGGAGUUUCGCAGAAUAGGUAUCUCAAACUUGCUCCACUUUCAGGCCAGAAUUCCAGUUGCCGGUAUUUUCCCUCUUCAUGUAAACCUUACAAAAUAAGAGAGAAAAGGCAUAAUAAUUGUACCGUGAAGUGAAAUAACAGCCCAAGAAGCGAUCAAUAUCAACAUGAAAACAUGAUGCAAAAUGGACGUAUCAACUCCCCCAAGCUUCGACCUCGCUUGUCCUCAAGCGAAAGCCUAGAUCAAUAAAUAUGUCCACAUGUUUAGGGAGAGAGGUGUCGACAAAACAAGAUACGAACAUGCAUGCAUCAUGAUCAUGAUGAGAACAGCAAUACCAACAUAUAAUCUCUCAUGCUAAAGUGAUAAUUCCUUCACAAAGUAAAGCAUGGAUCAAGAACCUUACCGAGAAGUAACAACUGAUAGCCUUUAGUCAUUGAAGCAAUUGCAAUUUAUCACAACAUCACAGAGAGUCAAAUAAGAGCUUGUAAAGCGAAUCCACAUACUCAAUCAUUCUUUCGUUCUCUACAAUUGCUACAACUCACGUGGUACUCAUGACAUCAAAGUUGCAGCUGGACACAGAGAAAUAUAGGGGCUUAUAGUUUUGCCUCCUAACUGCUUACCUCAAGGGUAAUGUCAACAAUAAUAAUUCAUGAAUACUUACCUCCAAGUUGACAUAUGAAUAUAGAUCUUUCCCAAGUGUGUGACGGUAGCCAAGACAAAGGCAAAAUAAGGAAUUGGUGAAGAUCACCAUGACUCUUUCAAGGGCAAAAAGUAAAGGUACAAGAUAGGCCCUUCGCAGAGGGAAGCAGAGGUUGUCAUGCGCUUUUGAGGUUUGGAUGCGUGUCCUCUUAGUGCGGAGGAACGUCACUUUAUAUUGCCCCCUGUGAUAAAGAACUUUAUUAUGCAGUCUGUCGCUUUUAUAUGUUCCUCAUCAUAGGUUCGUACAAAGCUUAUUUUCCACACACUAAUAGAUCAUACAUAUUAGAGAGCAUUUUUUAUUGCUUGCACCGAUGACAACUUACUUGAGGGAUCUUAUUCAAUUCAUAGGUAGGUAUGGUGGACUCACAUGGCAAAACUGGGUUGAAGGUUUAUGGAUGCACAAGUAGUAUCUCUACUUAGUGCGGGAGGUUUGGCUAAUGUGAGGUGGAAGCAAUCGUCACAUGCUAAGGGAUCUCUAAUCAUAUAACAUUGUUUGGAACCAAGCAAACACGAUUCAUUAUGUUGUCUUCCUUGUCCAACAUCUACUUCUAGGCAUGCAAUAGUUUAGUGAGUGUUCACAAUCAUAGAUGGUGUCAGAGAUGAUAUAUUUAUAUGUGAACCUCUCCUUCUUUAUCACUUCCUAUUAAUUGCAACAAUGACCAAGGUCUACGUUUGCCUACCCUCAACAAGUUUCAAUCCUCAUUCUUUUUAUAUGUGAAGCCAUCACUUCCCAUAAGAUCAUUACAUGAUCUUUCAUGCUUUUGUUCUAUUAUCACUCUUUUGAUCAUGGCAAGAGGCAAAGCCCUUCAACUAAGACACUCUUUAUUAUAUGUCUCACGAGCUUGAAUACAUCGGGGGUGACACAAAGCAAAACUCAAUACUAAAACACUAAAACUUUUAAACUACUAGAAAAAGAGAAAACUGAAAACGAAAACUAAAACAAAGGUAAAGGCAAAAGAUGUGAUGGUGAUACGAUACCGGGGCAAUGUUGGGGAACGUCGGAUGGGAAACAAAAAAUUCCUAUGCACAUGAAGACCUGUCAUGGUGAUGUCCAUCUACGAGAGGGGAUUUCCGAUCUACGUACCCUUGUAGAUCGCUUCUACGGGACCUUCCCCGGCAACGGCGCCAGGAAUCCUUCUGCUGCUGGCUACGCCUACAGGGACUUCCUUGGCAAAUAUGCAAAGGAUUCCCCCGCGGCCUUGGAGCCUUGCGUUGGUGUUCCCUUGAAGAGGAAAGGGUGAUGUAGCACUGCGGCAGUAAGUAUUUUCCUCAGUUUGAGAACCAAGGUAUCGAUUCAGUAGGAGGAUCGCGUCAAGUCACAAGUACCUGCACAAACACAAAGAGCUUGCACCCAACGCUAUGAAGGGGUUGUUAAUCCCUUAUAGAUUGUCUGCAAAGUGAGAACUGGAAGCAAAAAGUAAACAAAGCAAAGUAAAAGUAAAAGUGGAGACGAUAGUUGUGAAUAGACCCGGGGGCCGUAGUGUUCACUAGUGGCUUCUCUCAUGAAAGCAAGUAGACGGUGGCUGAACGAAUUACUGACGAGCAAUUGAUAGAACCACGCAAAGUCAUGACGUUAUCUAUGGCAAUGAUCAUAUGUAUAGGCAUCACGUCCAAAACAAGUAGACCGAUACUUUCUGCAUCUACUACUAUUACUCCACACGUCGACCGUUGUCCAGCAUGCCUCUAGUGUAUUGAGUUCAUAAGAACAGAGUAACGCCUUAAGCAAGAUGACAUGAUGUAGAUGGACAAUCUCAAAUCUAUGAAGAAAACCCAUCUUGUUACCCUUGAUGGCAACAACACGAUGCGUGCCUUGCUGCCCUUUAUGUCACUGGGAAAGGUCACCGCACGGUAUGAACCCAAAACCAAGCACUUCUCCCAUUGCAAGAAUCAUAGAUCUAGUUAGCCAAACAAAACCCAAGACUCGGAGAGACUUACAAGGAUAUCAAAUCAUGCAUAUAAGAAAUCAGCAAAGACUCAAAUAUAAUUCAUAGAUAAUCUGAUCACAAAUCCACAAUUCAUCGGAUCUCGACAAACACACCGCCAAAGAGGAUUACAUCGUAUAGAUCUCCAUGAAGAUCAUGGAGAACUUUGUAUUGAAGAUCCAAGAGAGAGAAGAAGACAUGUAGCUACUAACUACGAAACCCGUAGGUCUGAAGUGGACUACUCAUGAGUCAUUGGAGGGGCGAUGAUGUUGAUGUAGAAGCCCUCUAGCUCCAAAGUCCCCUCUGUCACGACACCAGGAAGGGUCUCCAGAUGAGAUCUCGCAGAAACGGAAGCUUGCGGCGGCGGAAAAGUGGUUUCGUGGACGCCCUGAUUUUUUCUGGGAUUUUAGGGAAUAUAUAGGUCAAAGAGCUAGGGCAUGGGAGCGUCACGGAGGCCACAAGCCUGGUCGCUGCGGGCCCCCCUUGCCGCGGCAUCAGGGCUUGUGGGCUCCCUCUGGGCCUCCUGCCUUGGCCCUCAAGUCCCCCGAUCUUCUUCUGUUCUGGAAAAAUUUAUUUCGGGGAUUUUAUUCCGUUUGGACUCCGUUCCAAAAUCAGAUCUGAAAAGAGUCUAAAACACAGAAAAAACAGGAACUGGCACUUGGCACUGAGUUAAUAAGUUAGUCCCAAAAAAGAUAUAAAAGGUAUAUAAAACAUCCAAAGUUGACAAGAUAACAGCAUGAAACCAUCAAAAAUUAUAGAUACGUUUGAGACGUAUCAAGCAUCCCCAAGCUUAACUCCUGCUCGUCCUCAAGUAGGGAAGUGAUAAAGAAUGAAUUUUUGAUGCUUUCAUGCUACCUAGCAUAGAUGUCCUUUGUAACUCCUCUUAUGUGACGUGAAUGUUCAUAUCCAUUAGAUUCAAAACAAUAGUUUGCUAUUGACGUGGAGACAAUAAUACUUCAAGCAAACUAGCAAGGUAAUCAUGAACUUUCAAAAUAACAAGGCCAAAAGAAAGUUAUCCCUACAAAAUCAUAUAGUCUGGCUAUGCUCUAUCAUCCUUGCACAACAAAUUCAAAUCAUGCACAACCUCGGUAUUGGCCAAGUAAUUGUUUUCACACCUUUACUUUCUCAAACUUUUUCAACCCUCACGUAAUGCAUGAGCGUGAGCCAUGGUUUUAGCACUAUAAGUGGAAUGGAGUGUGGUGGAGGUUGCAAGGCAAACAAGAAGAAGAUGGUCACAUUGACUAGGCAUAUCAAUGAUUUGUGGAGAUGCUCAUCAAUAGAUAUCAACGUGAAUGAAUAGGGAUUGCCAUACAAAUGAUGCACUAGAGCUAAGAGUAUGUGAAAGAUUUAAAAAAAACUAGUGGGUGUGCAUCCAACUUGCUUGCUCACGAAGACCUAAGGCAAUUUUUAGGAAGCCUAUCAUUGGAAUAUACAAGCCAAGUUAUAUAAUUAAAAUUUCCCACUAGCUAUAUGGUGGUGACAAAACGAGAGACUCUCAAUCAUGAAGAUCAUGGUGCUUAAUAAGCACAAGUGUGGAAAGAUAGUAGCAUUGUCCCUUCUCUCUUUUUCUCUCUUUUUUUGGUGGGCUCUUUGGCCUCUUUUUGUAAAUGGGCUUCGCUGGCCUCUUUUAUUUCCUCACAUGGGACAAUGCUCCAUCAAUGAUGAUCAUCACACUUACAACUCAAAACUUAGAGCAAUGAUGACUCUAUAAGGAAUGCCUUCGGUAGUGUACCGUGACAAUGAUCUAGCAUGCCAUAGACAUCAAUGGAAACAUCAUGCUAGCUAUCUUAUGAUCAUGCAAUGGAAAUGUAGAGGUGGUGGCACAUGUCAUGGUGGUAGUUGCAUGGCAAUAUUGUUGGGGAACGUCGCAUGGGAAACAAAAAUUUUCCUAUGCGCACGAAGACCUAUCAUGGUGAUGUCCAUCUACGAGAGGGGAUGAGUGAUCUACGUACCCUUGUAGAUCGUACAGCAGAAGCGUUAGUGAACGCGGUUGAUGUAGUGGAACGUUCUCACGUCCUUCGAUCCGCCCCGCGAACAAUCCCGCGAUCAGUCCCACGAUCUAGUACCGAACGGACGGCACCUCCGCGUUCAGCACACGUACAGCUCGACGAUGAUCUUGGCCUUCUUGAUCUAGCAAGAGAGACAGAGAGGUAGAAGAGUUAUACGGCAGCGUGACGGCGCUCCGGAGGUUGGUGAUGACCUUGUCUCAGCAGGGCUCCGCUCGAGCUCCGCAGAAACGCGAUCUAGAGGAAAAACCGUGGAGGUAUGUGGUCGGGCUGCCGUGGAAAAGUCAUCUCAAAUCAGCCCUAAAACCUCCGUAUAUAUAGGUGGGAGGGAGGGGACCUUGCCUUGGGGCUCAAGCCCCAAGGGGGUCGGCCGAGUCCAAGGGGGAAGGCUCCCCCCCAAACCGAGUUGGACUUGGUUUGGUGGGUGGGAGUCCUUCCUUCCCUUCCCACCUCCUCUUUUUUUUUCUCUUUGAUUUUCUUUCCUAGGCGCAUAGGGCACUUUUGGGCUGUCCACCCUCAAGGCCUAUGGGUGAGAAAAUAACGAUAUCCGCCGCGCGCCUCUACGCUCAUCGGACCACACACAUCGGUAUGUAUGAUUUCCAACAAGUCACUUGCACGCUCCAUAGUUCCGGAGAAUGGAGUCUUAGUCAUCUUGACCAUGAGGCAUGGUUCGCACGUGUCAAGUGAAUCAAAGUCAAGUGACUCCAAAAGUCCAUCAGCAUGGAGUUUCUUCAUGCGCUUUACACCAAUAUGACCUAAGCGGCAGUGCCACAAAAAUAUGGCGCUAUCAUUGUUAACUCUAACUCUUUUGGUCUCAAUGUUAUGUAUAUGUGUAUCGCAAUCAAGAUUCAAUAUGAACAAUCCUCUCACAUUAGGUGCAUGACCAUAAAAGAUGUUACUCAUAGAAAUAGAACAACCAUUAUUCUCUGACUUAAAAGAGUAACCGUCUCGCAAUAAACAAGAUCCAGAUAUAAUGUUCAUGCUCAACGCAGGCACUAAAUAACAAUGUUUUAAGUUCAUCACUAAUCCUGAUGGUAACUGAAGUGAAACUGUGCCGACGGCGAUUGCAUCAACCUUGGAACCAUUUCCUACGCGCAUCGUCACUUCAUCUUUCGCCAGCCUUCGUCUAUUCCGCAGUUCCUGUUUCGAGUUGCAAAUAUGAGCAACAUAACCGGUAUCGAAUACCCAGGCACUACUACGAGAGCCGGUUAAGUACACAUCAAUAACAUGUAUAUCAAAUAUACCUGAUUUUUCUUUGGCCGCCUUCUUAUCUGCCAGAUACUUGGGGCAAUUGCGCUUCGAGUGACCCAUACCCUUGCAAUAGUAACACUCCGUUUCAGGCUUAGGUCCAGCUUUGGGUUUCUUCGUCGGAUUGGCAACAGGCUUGCCGCUCUUCUUCGAAUUACCCUUCUUGCCUUUACCGUUUCUCUUGAAACUAGUGGUCUUAUUCACCAUCAACACUUGAUGCUCUUUACGGAGUUCAGACUCUGCGACUUUCAGCAUCGCAAACAACUCGCCGGGAGACUUGUUCAUCUUGUCAUGUUGUAGUUCAACACAAAGCCUUUAUAGCUUGGCGGCAGUGAUUGAAGGAUUCUGUCAGUGAUAGCCUCUUGCGGGAGUUCAAUCCCCAGCUCAGCUAGACGGUUUGAGUACCCAGACAUUUUGAGCACAUGUUCACUGACAGACGAGUUUUCCUCCAUCUUGCAAGCAUAGAAUUUAUCGGAGGUCUCAUACCUCUCGAUCCGGGCGUUCUUCUGAAAGAUAAACUUCAACUCCUGGAAUAUCUCAAAUGCUCCAUGACGCUCAAAGCGACGUUGAAGUCCCGGUUCUAAGCCAUACAAGACUGCACAUUGAACUAUUGAGUAGUCCUCCUUACGUGCUAACCAAGCGUUCUUAACAUCCUGAUCAGCCGUAGCGGGUGGUUCAUCUCCUAGCGCAGCAUUAAGGACAUAAUCCUUCUUCCCAGCUUGUAAGAUUAACUUAAGAUUACGAGCCCAGUCUACAAAGUUGCUUCCAUCAUCUUUCAACUUAGCUUUCUCUAGGAACGUAUUAAAAUUCAGGAUGACUGUAGCGUGAGCCAUGAUCUACAACACAAAUAUAUUCAAAGUGGACUUUAGACUAUGUUCAAGAUAAUUAGAGUUUAAUUUAAUCAAAUUAUAUGCUAAACUCCCACUCANUCCAUCACCAAAGCACCGGCACGAUCUUCUUGUCACCGGCGCCACGCCAUGAUCUCCAUCAACGUGUUGCCAUCGGGGUUGUCGUGCUACUCAUGCUAUUACUACUAAAGCUACAUCCUAGCAAAAUAGUAAACACAUCUGCAAGCACAAACGUUAGUAUAAAGACAACCCUAUGGCUCCUGCCGGUUGCCGUACCAUCGACGUGCAAGUCGAUAUUUUCUAUUACAACAUGAUCAUCUCAUACAUCCAAUAUAUCACAUCACAUCGUUGGCCAUAUCACAUCACAAGCAUACCCUGCAAAAACAAGUUAGACGUCCUCUAAUUUUAUUGUUGCAUGUUUUACGUGGUGACCAUGGGUAUCUAGUAGGAUCGCAUCUUAAUUACGCAAACACCACAACGGAGAUAUAUGAGUUGCUAUUUAACCUCAUCCAAGGACCUCCUCGGUCAAAUCCGAUUCAACUAAAGUUGGAGAAACCGACACUUGCCAGUCAUCUUUGAGCAACGGGGUUACUCGUAGCGAUGAAACCAGUCUCUCGUAAGCGUACGAGUAAUGUCGGUCCAAGCCGCUUCUAUCCAACAAUACCGCGGAAUCAAGAAAAGACUAAGGAGGGCAGCAAAACGCACAUCACCACCCACAAAAACUUUUGUGUUCUACUCGAGAAGACAUCUACGCAUGAACCUAGCUCAUGAUGCCACUGUUGGAGAACGUCGCAUGGGAAACAAAAAUUUUCCUACGCGCACGAAGACCUAUCAUGGUGAUGUCCAUCUACGAGAGGGGAUGAGUGAUCUACGUACCCUUGUAGAUCGUACAGCAUAAGCGUUAGUGAACGCGGUUGAUGUAGUGGAACGUCCUCACGUCCCUCGAUCCGCCCCGCGAACAAUCCCGCGAUCAGUCCCACGAUCUAGUACCGAACGGAUGGCACCUCCGCGUUCAGCACACGUACAGCUCGACGAUGAUCUUGGCCUUCUUGAUCUAGCAAGAGAGACGGAGAGGUAGAAGAGUUCUCCGGCAGCGUGACGGCGCUCCGGAGGUUGGUGAUGACCUUGUCUCAGCAGGGCUCCGCCCAAGCUCCGCAGAAACGCGAUCUAGAGGAAAAACCGUGGAGGUAUGUGGUCGGGCUGCCGUGGAAAAGUCGUCUCAAAUCAGCCCUAAAACCUCCGUGUAUAUAGGUGGGGGGGAGGGGACCUUGCCUUGGGGCUCAAGGAGCCCCAAGGGGGUCGGCCGAGUCCAAGGGGGAAGGCUCCCCCCCCCCAAACCGAGUUGGACUUGGUUUGGUGGGUGGGAGUCCUUCCUUCCCUUCCCACCUCCUCUUUUUUUUCUCUUUGAUUUUCUUUCCUAGGCGCAUAGGGCCCUUUUGGGCUGUCCCACCAGCCCACUAAGGGCUGGUGUGCCACCCUCAAGGCCUAUGGGCUUCCCCGGGGUGGGUUGCCCCCCCGGUGAACUCCCGGAACCCAUUCGUCAUUCCCGGUACAUUCCCGGUAACUCCGAAAACCUUCCGGUAAUCAAAUGAGGUCAUCCUAUAUAUAAAUCUUCGUUUCCGGACCAUUCGAAAACCCUCGUGACAUCCGUGAUCUCAUCCGGGACUCCUAACAACAUUCGGUAACCAACCAUAUAACUCAAAUACGCAUAAAACAACGUCUAACCUUAAGUGUGUAGACCCUGCGGGUUCGAGAACUAUGUAGACAUGACCCGAGAGACUCCUCGGUCAAUAUCCAAUAGCGGGACCUGGAUGCCCAUAUUGGAUCCUACAUAUUCUACGAAGAUCUUAUCGUUUGAACCUCAGUGCCAAGGAUUCAUAUAACCCCGUAUGUCAUUCCCUUUGUCCUUCGGUAUGUUACUUGCCCGAGAUUCGAUCGUCAGUAUCCACAUACCUAUUUCAAUCUCGUUCACCGGCAAGUCUCUUUACUCGUUCCGUAAUACAAGAUCCCGCAACUUUCACUAAGUCACAUUGCUUGCAAGGCUUGUGUGUGAUGUUGUAUUACCGAGUGGGCCCCGAGAUACCUUUCCGUCACACGGAGUGACAAAUCCCAGUCUUGAUCCAUACUAACUCAACUAACACCUUCGGAGAUACCUGUAGAGCAUCUUUAUAGUCACCCAGUUACGUUGCAACGUUUGAUACACACAAAGCAUUCCUCCGGUGUCAGUGAGUUAUAUGAUCUCACGGUCAUAGGAAUAAAUACUUGACACGCAGAAAAAACAGUAGCAACAAAAUGACACGAUCAACAUGCUACGUCUAUUAGUUUGGGUCUAGUCCAUCACGUGAUUCUCCUAAUGACGUGAUCCAGUUAUCAAGCAACAACACUUUGUUCAUAAUCAGAAGACACUGACUAUCUUUGAUCAAGUGGCUAUCCAACUAGAGGCUUGCUAGGGACGGUGUUUUGUCUAUGUAUCCACACAUGUAAAUGAGUCUUCAUUCAAUACAAUUAUAGCAUGGAUAAUAAACGAUUAUCUUGAUACAGGAAUUAUAAUAAUAACUAUAUUUAUUAUUGCCUCUAGGGCAUAAUUCCAACAAAUAUAUCUCGGAAUGGCUUUGAAGAAGCCAUAGUAGGUAGGUAUGGUGGCUGUUUUGAGGGAGGCUAAUGGUGGGUUUUAUGCACCGGCGAAAGUUGCACGUCACUAAAGAAGAUAGUGAUGGUGGAAGGUGAAAGUGCAUCUAAAGCAUGGACUCAACAUUAGUCAUGAAGAGCUCAUAUACUUGUUGCAAAAAAUUUAGUAGUAAUCAAAACAAAGCAUUCAACGCAUACUCCUAGGGGAAGGGUUGGUAGGUAUAAACCAUCGCGCGAUCCCGAGCGCCACACAAAGGAUGACAAUCAAUAGAGUAAUCAUGCUCAGACUUCAUCACAUAGCGGUUCACCAUACGUGCAUGCUACGGGAAUCACUAACUUCAACACAAGUAUUUCUAGAUCCACAACACCUUACUAGUAUAACUUCAAUAUUACCACAACCACAACUCAAAACUAAUUGAGAUGAAUCAAACUUCUCUAACCACUCAAUGCACAUGAAGGUGGAAGUUUUCAUAUCCCUUUGGAUAACUACCCCUUUUGAGACUACUUUCAUAGCAUAGAUCAACUACCACACCACGCGCCGCUGUGCUCUAAAAGAUAUAAGUGAAACACAUAGAGCAAAAUCAACUAGCUCAAAAGAUAUAAGUGAAGCACAUGUGAGCUGAAUUGUCUAACCAAAGGAUAUAAGUGAAGCUCGACAAAAUCAUAGUGAGUGCAUGUCUCUCUCUCUCUAGGUGUGCAGCAAGGAAGAUUGUGACACAACAAAAAUAAAAGACUCCUACGAUACAAGACGCUCCAAGCAAAACACAUAACAUGUGGUGAAUAAAAAUAUAUCCCCAAGUAACAUUACCGAUGGAUUGAAGACGAAAGAGGGGAUGCCUUCCCGGGGCAUCCCCAAGCUUAGGCUUUUUCGGCAUCCUUGAAUCAACUUGGGGUGCCUUGGACAUCCCCAAGCUUGAGCUCUUGCCACUCUUUAUCUCCUUGUCCAUAAGAACUUCACCCAAAACUUGAAAACUUCACAACACGAAACUUAAACAGAAACUCGUGAUAACAUUAGUAUAAGAAAGCAAACCACCACUUCCUUAGGUACUGUAGCAAACUUAAAUUCUACUUAUGUUGAUGUUGGGUUACUGUAUUUUCAAUCUUCCAUGGAUAAUACCCACCGAUACUAUCCAUAGUUUCAUCAAAAUAAGCAACCAACUCAACAAAAACAGAAUCUGUUAACAACAGACCAAUCUGUAGCAAUCUGUAUACUUCGUAUACUUAUGGUACUUCAAAAAUUCUGAACAAUUACGACAGUCUGAAGAAUUUGCGUAGCAAUCAGCAGCAAAAAGAAUCAACUCAAAAGCUCUCACAGAAAAAAAUGAAAAUUCUUUUCAUGAGCAGAAAGUUUCUUUCUUUUCCAGCAUGACCAAACGAUCAUCCCCAAGACUAAUCAUAACGGUUUUACUUGGCACAAAUGCAAAAGUAACACAAAAAACACAAUCAUAACACAAUUAUGAAAGUGUGAAAAACACAAAACAGAAAGAAAAAGGAUAGAUUCGUUGGGUUGCCUCCCAACAAGCGUUAUUGUUUAACGCCCUUAGCUAGGCAUAAGGUGAUGGAAUCAGGUAUAGUCAUCUUUGGUGCUCAAACCAUAAGUAGCCCUCAUCAUAGAUUCAUAAGGCAAUCUUAUUUUAUUUCUAGGAAAAUGCUCCAUGCCCUUCUUUAGAGGAAAUUGAAAUCUAAUAUUCCCUUCCUUCAUAUCGAUGAUAGCACCAAUAGUCCUUAGGAAAGGUCUACCAAGAAUAAUGGGACAUGAAGGAUUGCAAUCUAUGUCAAGUACAAUGAAAUCCACGGGUACAUAGUUCUUAUUUGCAACAAUAAGAACAUCAUUGAUCCUUCCCAUGAGUUUCUUGACAGUAGAAUUCGCAAGAUGCAAAUUAAGAGAACACUCUUCAAUCUCAUGAAAACCAAGAAUAUCACAUAAAGACUUUGGAAUCGCGAAAACACUAGCACCCAAAUCACACAAAGCAUUGCAUUCAUAGUUUUUGAUUUUGAUUUUGAUAGUAGGUUCCCACUCAUCAUGAAGUUUUCUAGGUAUAGAGACUUCUAAUUUGAGUUUCUCUUCAAGAGAUUUCAUCAUAGCAUCUACGAUAUGGGCGGUAAAGGCUUUGCUUUGGCUCUAAGCAUGUGGAGAGUUUGCAAUGGAUUGCAUCAAGGAAAUGCAUUCAAACAAGGAGAAACUAUCAUAAUUGAAUUCCUUGAAAUCCAAAGUGGGAGUUUCAUUACUACCCAAUAUUUUGAUUUCUUCUACUCCACUCUCCACACCUUUAUCAUCAAGAUAGGUGGACUCCGAAUCAUUGGGGAGUUUUUCAACCAAAGUGGAUUCAUAUCCAGCCCCUUCAUCAAUAGGUUUGACACGCGAAAACAAAGAUUCAAGAGGAGUCACACCAAGCACUUUAAGAUCUUCAUGAUUUGCAUCACUAGAACGCACCCUUUUAAACCAUUCAUGCCUAGCGCGAAUUUGGGUGGUUCUUUCUUUGCUCUAAAUUCAUGGAGACACGCAUAGCUUUUAAAGUUUCAUCCAAGUUGACCUUGGGAGGAGCACAUCUAACUUUCAAAGCAUCAAUAUCACAAGACAUCCUAUCAACGCUCUUAGCCAAAUCGUCUAUUUUGAAUAGUUUUUCCUCUAUGGAUGCAUUGAAAAUCUUUUGAGAGUUGGUGAACUCUUUGAUAUUACUCUCUAAAUCAGAGGGUAAUUUGUUAUGAUUUCCAUAAGUGUCGUUGUAGGAAUUGCCAUAAUUGUUAGAGGAGUUACUAGAAAAAGGCCUAGGAACAUAGUUUCCUCUAAAAGCAUUGUUGUUGCCAAAAUUGUUCCUACCAACAAAAUUAACGUCCAAACUAGCGUUGCUACUCUCAAUCAAGGAAGAUAGUGGCAUGUCAUUAGGAUCUAAAGUAGCAUUUCUACUAGCAACUAAAUUCAUCAACUCGUCCAUCUUAGCACUAAGCGAGUUAAUUUCUUCUAUAGCGUGUACCUUUUUGCUAGCAGGUGACCUUUCAGUGUGCCACUGAGAGUAGUUGGUCAUGAUAUUGUCUAAGAGUUUUCUAGCUUCUCCUAACAUGAUUUCCAUGAACGUUCCACCUGAGGCAGAGUCUAAGAUAUUGCGAGAAGCAAAAUUCAAACCAACAUAAAACAUUUGUAUAAUCAUCCACAAACUCAAGCCAUGAGCGGGACAAUUUCUAAUCAUUAACUUCAUCCUCUCCCAAGAUUGUGCAACGUGUUCAUGAUCAUGUUGCUUGAAAUUCAUGAUAUCGUUACAGAGAGAGAUAAUCUUAGCCGGCGGAAAAUACUUGGAUAUGUAAGUAUCUUUGCACUUAUUCCAAGAAUCGAUACUAUUUUUGGGCAAAGAAGAAAACCAAGUUUUUGCGCGAUCUCGCAACGAGAAAGGAAAAAGCUUCAACUUAACAACAUCAUUAUCCACAUAUCUUUUAUUUUGCAUAUCGCAAAGCUCAAAGAAGGUAUUGAGAUGGGAUGCAGCAUCUUCACUAGGAAGGCCAGAAAAUUGCUCUUUCAUAACAAGAUUCAGCAAGGCAACAUUGAUUUCAUAUGAUUCCACACUAGUGGCGGGAGCAAUCGUAGUACUAAUAAAAUCAUUAUUAUUAGUACUCGAGAAGUCGCAAAGUUUGGUGUUUUCAGCCAUGAUGACUUAAAAAAACAAACAAGAACACAAGCAAGCAAGAAAACUGGCAAAGGAAAACGGCAAAAGGCAAAAGAAAACGGCAAAGCAGAAAGGCAAAUGAAACGGCAAAUGUGAAGUGGGGGAGAGGAAAACGAGAGGCAACUGGCAAAAAAGGUAAAUGCAAGAGAUGAGUUUGUGACACUUACUUGGAUAGAUCUUGACUUGAUCUCUCCUCCCCGGCAACGACGCCAGAAAUCCUUCUGCUACGGCAAGAAAAGACCUUCCCCGGCAAUGACGCCAGGAAUCCUUCUGCUGCUUGCUACGCCUACAAGGACUUCCUUGGCAAAUAUGCAAAGGAUUCCCCCGCGGCCUUGGAGCCUUGCCUUGGUGUUCCCUUGAAGAGGAAAGGGUGAUGUAGCACUGCGGCAGUAAGUAUUUCUCUCAGUUUGAGAACCAAGGUAUCGAUCCAGUAGGAGGAUCGCGUCAAGUCACAAGUACCUGCACAAACACAAAGAGCUUGCACCCAACGCUAUGAAGGGGUUGUCAAUCCCUUAUAGAUUGUUUGCAAAGUGAGAAAUGAAAGCAAAAAGUAAACAAAGCAAAGUAAAAGUAAAAGUGGAGACGAUUGUUGUGAAUAGACCCGGGGGCCGUAGUGUUCACUAGUGGCUUCUCUCAUGAAAGCAAGUAGACGGUGGGUGAACGAAUUACUGACGAGCAAUUGAUAGAACUGCGCAAAGUCAUGACGUUAUCUAUGGCAAUGAUCAUAUCUAUAUGCAUCACGUCCAAAACAAGUAGACCGAUACUUUCUGCAUCUACUACUAUUACUCCACACGUCGACCACUAUCCAGCAUGCAUCUAGUGUAUUAAGUUCAUAAGAACAGAGUAACGCCUUAAGCAAGAUGACAUGAUGUAGAUGGACAAUCUCAAAUCUAUGAUGAAAGUCCAUCUUGUUACCCUUGAUGGCAACAACACGAUGCGUGCCUUGCUGCCCUUUCUGUCACUGGGAAAGGUCACCGCACGGUAUGAACCCAAAACCAAACACUUCUCCCAUUGCAAGAAUCAUAGAUCUAGUUGGCCAAACAAAACCCAAGACUCGGAGAGACUUACAAGGAUAUCAAAUCAUGCAUAUAAGAAAUCAGCAAAGACUCAAAUAUAAUUCAUAGAUAAUCUGAUCACAAAUCCACAAUUCAUCGGAUCUCGACAAACACACCGCCAACGAGGAUUACAUCGGAUAGAUAUCCAUGAAGAUCAUGGAGAACUUUGUAUUGAAGAUCCGAGAGAGAGAAGAAGCCAUCUAGCUACUAACUACGGACCCGUAGGUCUGAAGUGGACUACUCACGAGUCAUUGGAGGGGUGAUGAUGUUGAUGUAGAAGCCCUCCAGCUGCAAAGUCCCCUCCGGCAGGGCACCGGGAAGGGUCUUCAGAUGAGAUCUCGCGGAAACGGAAGCUUGCGGCGACGGAAAAGUGGUUUCGUGGACGCCCUGAUUUUUUCUGGGAUUUUAGGGAAUAUAUAGGCCAAAGAGCUAGGGCACGGGAGUGCCAAGGAGGCCACAAUCCUGGUCGCCGCGGGCCCCCUGGCUGUGGCGUCAGGGCUUGUGGGCUCCCUGUGGGCCUCUUGCCUUGGCCCUCAAGUCGCGCGAUCUUCUUUUGUUCUGGAAAAAUUUAUUUCGGGGAUUUUAUUCCGUCUGGACUCCGUUCCAAAAUCAGAUCUGAAAAGAGUCAAAAACACAGAAAAACAGGAACUGGCACUUGGCACUGUAGUAAUAAGUUAGUCCCAAAAAAGAUAUAAAAGGUAUAUAAAACAUCCAAAGUUGACAAGAUAACAGCAUGAAACCAUCAAAAAUUAUAGAUAAGUUUGAGACGUAUCAAUCGCACAGGAGGAAGCAUUAAGAAACGCGGUUGAUGUAGUGGAACGUCCUCACGUCCCACGAUCCGCCCCGGGAACCGUCCCACGAACCGUCCCGCGAUCCGUCUCACGAUCCGCUCCGAUCUAGUGCCGAACGGACGGCACCUCCGCGUUCAGCACACGUACAGCUCGACAAUGAUCUCGGCCUUCUUGAUCCAGGAAGAGAGACGGAGAGGUAGAUGAGUUCUCCGGCAACGUGAUGGCGCUCUGGAGGUUGGUGGUGAUCUUAUCUCAGCAGGGCUUCGCCCGAGCUCCGCACAAACGCGAUCUAGAGGAAAAACCGUGGAGGUAUGUGUUUGGGCUACCGUGGCAAAGUUUUCUCAAAUCGGCCCUAAUACCUCAGUAUAUAUAGGAGGGAGGGGAGGGACCUUGCCUUGAGGAUCAAGGAGCCCCAAGGGGUCGGCUGAAGUGGGGGGAGGAGGAUUCCUCCUCCAAUCCUAGUCCAACUAGGAUUGGAAGGUGGAGUCCUUCUCUAUUUUCCCACUUCCCCUUUUUUAUUUUCUCUUUGAUUUUCUUUCUCUCCUGUGCAGGGGCCUUCUUGGGCUUGCCCACCAGCCCACUAAGGGCUGGUGCGGCACCCCUAAGGCCUAUGGGCUUCCCCGGGGUGGGCUGCCCCCCCGGUGAACAUCCGGAACCCAUUCGUCACUCCCGGUACAUUCCUGGUAAUGCCGAAAACUUUCUGGUAAUCAAAUGAGGUCAUCCUAUAUAUCAAUCUUCGUCUCCAGACCAUUCUGGAAACCCUCGUGAUGACCGUGAUCUCAUUCGGGACUCCUAACAACAUUCGGUAAACAACCAUAUAACUCAAAUACGCAUAAAACAACGCCGAAUCUUAAGUUUGCAGACCGUGCGGGUUCGAGAACUAUGUAGACAUGACCCGAGGGACUCCUCGGUCAAUAUCCAAUAGCGGGACCUGGAUGCCCAUAUUGGAUCCUACAUAUUCUACGAAGAUCUUAUCGUUUGAACCUCAGUGCCAGGGAUUCAUAUAAUCCCGUAUGUCAUUCCCUUUGUCCUUCGGUAUGUUACUUGCCCGAGAUUCGAUCGUCAGUAUCCGCAUACCUAUUUUAAUCUCGUUUAUCGGCAAGUCUCUUUAUUCAUUCCGUAAUACAAGAUCCCGUGACUUACACUAAGUCACAUUACUUGCAAGGCUUGUGUCUGAUGUUGUAUUACCGAGUGGGCCCCAAGAUACCUCUCCGUCACACGGAGUGACAAAUCCAAGUCUUGAUCCAUACUAACUCAACGGACACCUUCGGAGAUACCUGUAGAGCAUCUUUAUAGUCACCCAGUUAGGUUGUGACGUUUGAUACACACAAAGCAUUCCUCCGGUGCCAGUGAGUUAUGUGAUCUCAUGGUCAUAGGAAUAAAUACUUGACAUGCAGAAAACAGUAGCAACAAAAUGACACGAUCAACAUGCUACGUCCAUUAGUUUGGGUCUAGUCCAUCCCCUUAUUCACCCAAUGAUGUGAUCCAGUUAUCAAGCAACAACACCUUGUACAUAGUCAGAAGACCCUGACUAUCCUUGAUCAACUGGCUAGCCAACUAGAGGCUUGCUAGGGAAAGUGUUUUGUCUAUGUAUCCACACAUGUAUCUAAGUCUUCAUUCAAUACAAUUAUAGCAUGGAUAAUAAACAUUAUCUUGAUAUAGGAAUUAUAACAAUAACUUAUUUAUCAUUGCCUCUAGGGCAUAAUUCUAAUAGUCUCCCACUUGCACUAGAGUCAAUAAUCUAACCCUCACAUCACCAUGCGAAUUACAUUGUAAUAAAUCUAACACCCAUACAGUUCUGGUGUUGAUCAUGCUUUGCCCGUGGAAGAGGUUUAGUUAGCGGGUCUGCCACAUUUAGAUCCGUGUGCACUUUGCAUAUAUUCACGUCCUCCUCCUCGACGUAGUCGCGGAUGAGGUUGAAGCGUCGUUUGAUGUGUCUCGUCUUCUUGUGAAACUGUGGUUCCUUUGCUAAGGCAAUGGCACCCGUGUUGUCACAAAAUAGGGUUAUUGGAUUCAGUGCGCUCGGCACCACUCCAAGAUCCAUCAUGAACUGCUUCAUCCAGACACCCUCCUUAGCUGCCUCCGAGGCAGCCAUGUACUCCGUUUCACAUGUAGAAUCAGCUAUGACACUUUGCUUGGAACUGCACCAACUUACCGCACCCCCAUUAAGAAUAAAUAUGUACCCGGUCUGCAACUUAGAGUCAUCCGGAUCUGUGUCAAAGCUUGCAUCGACGUAACCCUUUACGGCGAGCUCUUUGUCACCUCCAUAUACGAGAAACAUCUCCUUAGUCCUUCUCAGGUACUUCAGGAUAUUCUUGACCGCCGUCCAGUGAUCCACUCCUGGAUUACUCUGGAACCUGCCUGCCAUACUUAUGGCUAGGCUAACGUUCGGUCUAGUGCACAACAUUGCAUACAUGAUAGAACCUAUGGUUGAAGCAUAGGGGACGGAACUCAUUGUCUUUCGAUCUUCCUCAGUUGCUGGGCACUCAGUCUUACUCAAUUUUAUACAUUGUAAUACUGGCAAGAACCCUUUCUUGGACUGAUCCAUUUUGAACUUCUUCAAAACUUUAUCAAGGUAUGUGCUUUGUGAAAGUCCUAUCACGCGUUUCGAUCUAUCCCUAUAGAUCUUAAUGCCUAGAAUGUAAGGAGCUUCUCCUAGGUCCUUCAUAGAGAAACUUUUAUUCAAGUAACCUUUUAUGCUCUCCAAAAGCUCCACGUUGUUUCCAAUCAGCAAUAUGUCAUCCACAUAUAAUAUUAGAAACGCCACAGAGCUCCCACUCACUUUCUUGUAAAUACAAGAUUCUCCAACCACUUGUAUAAACCCAAAUGCUUUGAUCACCUCAUCAAAGCGUUUAUUCCAACUCCGAGAUGCUUGCACCAGUCCAUAAAUGGAUCGCUGGAGCUUGCACACUUUGUUAGCAUUUUUAGGAUCGACAAAACCUUCGGGUUGCAUCAUAUACAACUCUUCCUUAAGGAAAACGUUAAGGAACGCCGUUUUGACAUCCAUGUGCCAGAUUUCAUAAUCGAAAAAUGCAGCUAUUGCUAACAUGAUUCUGAUGGACUUAAGCAUCGCUACGGGUGAGAACGUCUCAUCGUAGUCAACUCCUUGAACUUGUGAAAAACCCUUUGCCACAAGUCGAGCUUUAUAAACGGUCACAUUACCGUCAGCGUCCGUCUUCUUCUUAAAGAUCCAUUUGUUCUGAAUAGCCUUGCGGCCUUCAGGUAGUACUUCCAAAGUCCACACUUUGUUUUCAUACAUAGAUCCUAUCUCGGAUUUCAUGGCCUCUAGCCAUUUGUUGGAAUCCGGGCUCAGAAUUGCUUCUUCAUAAUUCACAGGCUCAUUGUUGUCUAACAACAUAAUUGAUAAGAUGGGAUUACCGUACCACUCUGGAGCAGUACGCGAUCUCGUCGACCUGCGAGGUCCGAUAGGAAUUUGAUCCGGAGUUUCAUGAUCAUCAUCAUUAACUUCCUCCUCAACCGGCGUCGCAACGACAGGGGUUUCCCCUUGCCCUGCGCCACCAUCCAGAGGGAUGAGAGGUUCGGCAACCUCAUCAAGUUCUAUCUUCCUCCCACUCAAUUCUCUUGAGAGAAACUCCUUCUCGAGAAAACCUCCGUUCUUAGCAACAAACACUUUCCCUCGGAUUUGAGAUAGAAGGUAUACCCAACUGUCUCUUUUGGGUAACCUAUGAAGACGCACCUUUCCGCUUUGGGUUCCAGCUUUUCAGGAUGAAGCUUUUUGACAUAAGCAUCACAUCCCCAAACUUUAAGAAACGACAACUUUGGUCUUUUGUCAUACCACAGUUCGUGUGGUGUCGUCUCAACGGAUUUUGAUGGUGCCCUAUUUAAAGUGAAUGCAGCUGUUUCUAAUGCAUAACCCCAAAACGAUAACGGCAAAUCGGUAAGAGACAUCAUAGACCAUACCAUCUCUAAUAAAGUAGGAUUACGACGUUCGGACACACCAUUACGCUGUGGUGUUCCAUGCGGUGUCAACUGUGAAACAAUUCUACAUUGUCUUAAGUGAGCACCAAACUCGAAACUCAGAUAUUCACCCCCACGAUCAAACCGUAGGAACUUGAUCUUCUUGUUACGAUGAUUUUCAACUUGACUCUGAAAUUGCUUGAACUUUUCAAAUGUUUCAGACUUGUGCUUCAUCAAGUAUACAUAACCAUAUCUACUCAAAUCGUCAGUGAAGGUGAGAAAAUAAUGAUAUCCGCCGCCUGACUCCACACUCAUCGGACCACACACAUCGGUAUGUAUGAUUUCCAACAAGUCACUUGCACGCUCCAUUGUUCCGGAGAACGGAGUUUUAGUCAUCUUGCCCAUGAGGCAUGGUUCGCACGUGUCAAGUGAAUCAAAGUCAAGUAACUCCAAAAGUCCAUCCGUAUGGAGUUUCUUCAUGCGCUUUACACCAAUAUGACCUAAGUGGCAGUGCCAUAAAAACAUGGCACUAUCAUUGUUAACUCUAACUCUUUUGGUCUCAAUGUUAUGUAUAUGUGUAUUAUCACUAUCAAGAUUCAAUAUGAACAAUCCUCUCACAUUGGGUGCAUGACCAUAAAAUAUAUUACUCAUAGAAAUAGAACAACCAUUAUUCUUUGACUUAAAUGAGUAACCGUCUCGCAAUAAAAAGAUCCAGAUAUAAUGUUCAUGCUUAACGCAGGCACUAAAUAACAUUUGUUCAAGUUCAUAACUAAUCCUGAUGGUAAAUGAAGUGAAACUGUGCCAACGGCGAUUGCAUCAACCUUGGAACCAUUUCCCACGCGCAUCGUCACUUCAUCCUUUGCCAACCUUCGCUCAUUCCGCAGUUCCUGUUUCGAGUUGCAAAUAUGAGCAACACAACCGGUAUCGAAUACCCAGGCACUAGUACGACAGCUGGUUAAGUACACAUCAAUAACAUGUAUAUCAAAUAUACCUGAUUUUUCUUUGGCCGCCUUCUUAUCAGCCAGAUAUUUGGAGUAGUUGCGCUUCCAGUGACCCAUACCCUUGCAAUAAAAGCACUCCUUUUCAGGCUUAGGUCCAGCUUUGGGUUUCUUCGUCGGAUUGGCAACAGGCUUGCCGCUCUUCUUCGAAUUGCCCUUCUUUCCUUUGCCGUUUCUCUUGAAACUAGUGGUCUUAUUCACCAUCAACACUUGAUGCUCUUUACGGAGUUCUGACUCUGCGACUUUCAGCAUCGCGAAUAACUCGCCGGGUGACUUGUUCAUCCCUUGCAUGUUAUAGUUCAACACAAAGCCCUUAUAGCUUGGCGGCAGUGAUUGAAGAAUUCUGGCAGUGAUAACCUCUUGCGAGAGUUCAAUCCCCAGCUCAGCUAGACGGUUUGAGUACCCAGACAUUUUGAGCACAUGUUCACUAACAGAUGAACUCUCCUCCAUCUUGCAAGCAUAGAAUUUAUCGGAGGUCUCAUACCUCUCGAUCCGGGCGUUCUUCUGAAAGAUAAACUUCAACUCCUGGAACAUCUCAUAUGCUCCAUGACGCUCAAAGCGACGUUGAAGUCCCGGCUCUAAGCCAUACAAGACUGCACAUUGAACUACUGAGUAGUCCUCCUUACGUGUUAACCAAGCGUUCUUAACAUCUUGGUCAGCCGUGGCGGGUGGUUCAUCUCCUAGCGCAGCAUUAAGGACAUAAUCCUUCUUCCCAGCUUGCAGGAGCAACUUAAGAUUACGAGCCCAGUCUACAAAGUUGCUUCCAUCAUCUUUCAACUUAGCUUUCUCUAGGAACGUAUUAAAAUUCAAGGUGACUGUCGCGUGAGCCAUUGAUCUACAACACAAAUAUAUUCAAAGUGGACUUAGACUAUGUUCAAUAUAAUUGGAGUUUAACUAAUAAAAUUACUUGCUAAACUCCCACUCANUCCAUCACCAAAGCACCAGCACGAUCUUCUGUCACCGGCGCCACACCAUGAUUUCCAUCAACGUGUCGCCAUCGGGGUUGUCGUGCUACUCAUGCUAUUACUACUAAAGCUACAUCCUAGCAAAAUAGUAAACGCAUCUGCAAGCACAAACAUUAGUUUAAAGACAACCCUAUGGCUCCUGCCGGUUGCCGUACCAUCGACGUGCAAGUCGAUGCUAACUAUUACAACAUGAUCAUCUCAUACAUCCAAUAUAUCACAUCACACCGUCGGCCAUAUCACAUCAAAAGCAUACCCUGCAAAAACAAGUUAGACGUCCUCUAAUUGUUGUUGCAUGUUUUACGUGGUGACCAUGGGUUUCUAGUAGGAUCGCAUCUUAAUUACGCAAACACCACAACGGAGAUGUAUGAAUUGCUAUUUAACCUCAUCCAAGGACCUCCUCGGUCAAAUCCGAUUCAACUAAAGUUGGAGAAACCGACACUCGCCAGUCAUCUUUGAGCAACGGUGUUGCUCGUAGCGAUGAAACCAGUCUCUCGUAAGCGUACGAGUAAUGUCGGUCCGAGCCGCUUCGAUCCAACAAUACCGCGGAAUCAAGAAAAGACUAAGGAGGGCAGCAAAUCGCACAUCACCGCCCACAAAAACUUUUGUGUUCUACUCGAGAUGACAUCUACGCAUGAACCUAGCUCUGAUACCACAGUUGGGGAACGUCGCAUGGAAAACAAAAAAUUUCCUACGCGCACGAAGACCUAUCAUGGUGAUGUCCAUCUAUAGAGGGGAUUUCCGAUCUACAUACCCUUGUAGAUCGCACAACAGGAAGCGUGAAGAAACGCGGUUGAUGUAGUGGAACGUCCUCACGUCCCUCGAUCCGCCCCGCGAACCGUCCCACGAACCGUCCCGCGAUCCGUCUCACGAUCCGCUCCGAUCUAGUGCCGAACGGACGACACCUCCGCGUUCAACACACGUACAGCUCAACGAUGAUCUCGGCCUUCUCGAUCUAGCAAGAGAGACGGAGAGGUAGAUGAGUUCUCCGGCGGCGUUACAGCGCUCCGGAGGUUGGUGGUGAUCUUAUCUCAGCAGGGCUCCGCCCGAGCUUCGCAGAAACGCGAUCUAGAGGAAAAACCGUGGAGGUAUGUGGUCGGGCUGCCGUGACAAAGUUGUCUCAAAUCAGCCCUAAUACCUCAGUAUAUAUAGGAGGGAGUGGAGGGACCUUUCCUUGAGGCUCAAGGAGCCCCAAGGGGUCGGCCGAAGUGGGGGGAGGAGGAUUCCUCCUCCAAUCCUAGUCCAACUAGGAUUGGAAGGUGGAGUCCUUCUCUAUUUUCCCACUUCCCUUUUUUCUUUAUUUUCUCUUUGAUUUUCUUUCUCUCCUGCGCAGGGGCCUUCUUGGGCUUGCCCACCAGACCACUAAGGGCUGGUGCGGCACCCCUAAGGCCUAUGGGCUUGCCCGGGGUGGGCUGCCCCCCCCCCCCGGUGAACAUCCGGAACCCAUUCGUCACUCCCGGUACAUUCUCGGUAAUGCCGAAAACUUUCCGGUAAUCAAAUGAGGUCAUCCUAUAUAUCAAUCUUCGUCUCCAGACCAUUCCGGAAACCCUCGUGAUGUCCGUGAUCUCAUCCGGGACUCCGAACAACAUUCGGUAACCAACCAUAUAACUCAAAUACAUAUAAAACAACGCCGAACCUUAAGUGUGCAGACCCUGCGGGUUCGAGAACUAUGUAGACAUGACCCGAGGGACUCCUCGGUCAAUACCCAAUAGCGGGACCUAGAUGCCCAUAUUGGAUCCUACAUAUUCUAUGAAGAUCUUAUCGUUUGAACCUCAGUGCGAGGAUUCAUAUAAUCCCGUAUGUCAUUCCCUUUGUCCUUCGGUAUGUUACUUUCCCAAGAUUCUAUCGUCAGUAUCUGCAUACCUAUUUUAAUCUCGUUUACCGGCAAGUCUCUUUACUCGUUCCGUAAUACAAGAUCCCGUGACUUACACUAAGUCACAUUGCUUGCAAGGCUUGUGUGUGAUGUUGUAUUAUCGAGUGGGCCCUGAGAUACCUCUCCGUCACACGGAGUGACAAAUCCCAAUCUUGAUCCAUACUAACUCUACGGACACCUUCAGAGAUACGUGUAGAGCAUCUUUAUAGUCACCCAGUUACGUUGUGACGUUUGAUACACACAAAGCAUUCCUCCGGUGCCAGUGAGUUAUAUGAUCUCAUGGUCAUAGGAAUAAAUACUUGACAUGCAGAAAACAGUAGCAACAAAAUGACACAAUCAACAUGCUAUGUCUAUUAGUUUGGGUCUAGUCCAUCACAUGAUUCACCCAAUGAUGUGAUCCAGUUAUCAAGCAACAACACCUUGUACAUAGUCAGAAGACCCUGACUAUCCUUGAUCAACUAGCUAGCCAACUAGAGCCUUGCUAGGGACAGUGUUUUGUCUAUGUAUCCACACAUGUAUCUAAGUCUUCAUUCAAUACAAUUAUAGCAUGGAUAAUAAACGAUUAUCUUGAUACAGGAAUUAUAGCAAUAACUUAUUUAUCAUUGCGUCUAGGGCAUAAUUCCAACAUGCAACUCCCCCAAGCUUGGCACAAGCCAAGGGGAUUGCCCAUACCAAUGCUCAGUUGUCUUCCUUUGGUGCUGAUGGUGGAGUUGUUGCACCAUGAGUUUGAUCCUCCGUCUUCCAAGGCAUAGGUGCUCCAUCAUGGAAAGAUGAACGAGUCUCCGGAAUCCUCAAAUCUGCAGCCAACCGUAUUGAUUUAAAUCUAUACUCAUACUCACAGUUUUGGUUCUGCAGGUCAUAGAUCUGGCCCUCGAGUUGAUCAAUCCUGUCAUAGAGCCUGGAGAGAUGCUUCCCAAUGUCAUUGGCAUCGAUCCUGUGCUUGUUGGUGAACUCCGUGAUCAUCAUGUGGUUGGCGUUGAGUCCACGCUCCACCAUCCCUUGGCACUUGAGGACUUGUUGCUCCAUUGCUUCGAGCCUCAUCUCCACGCUUCCGGUCUUCUUAGGCCCCUCAACAUCACGGAUGUGCAACAUCCCCUCACGCAUCUUGAUAGAUUGAGGGUAUUGCAGUACUUCUGUGAGGUAGGGAUUGAUGACCUUCUCGAAGAUCUUGUCCUUCGGAGCUUUGAGGGAAGUCAUGUCGAUCUAGAUCUGCAACAGAAAUAGGCUCGAAACGAAAAACAGAGGAAAUCUGCGUGAUGCAGGGGUCAGACCAAACGAAAGUAUAUAUAAUGAUUUUUUCAGACAAGAAGGAGUACCCCGCACAAAAACGGAGUCCAGGAGGCGCACGAGGUGGCCACAAGCCCUCACGGCGCGGCCAGGGGGUGGGCCCGCGCCGUGCAGGCUUGUCGCCUCCUCGCGCACUUUCCAGACUACUUCCAAUUUUUGUAUUUUUUAAAAAAUUCCAAAACAGAGAAAAUUUCCUACUAAAAAAGUUUUGGACUCUGUUUUCUUACGGAAUCACAUACCUCUUCGUUUUCGGAGUCUGAAACAGGCUGAUAAAUAUCCCUUAGGUAUUCUUCCGGAGUUCUGGUAUUGAUGAUAUUGCUUUCAACAUUUAUGGGAGUACCUCAGAUAUAAUGCUUGAUUCUCUGACCAUUUACAACUCUCGGACAAUUACCUUCCGUGUUGUUGAUCUUGGUAGCACCGGAACGAUAUACUUCCUCAACAACAUAGGGACCUUCCCAUUUAGGGAGAAGCUUGCCUGCAAAGAAUCUUAAACGAGAGUUAUAUAGCAAGACAUAAUCACCUACAUUGAACUCACACUUUUGUAUCCUCUUAUCAUGCCACCUCUUAACCUUCUCUUUGAACAGCUUGGCAUUCUCAUAUGCCUGAGUUCUCCACUCAUCAAGCGAGCUAAUAUCAAAUAACCUCUUCUCACCGGCAAGUUUGAAAUCAAAGUUGAGCUCUUUGAUUGCCCAAUAAGCUUUGUGCUCUAGCUCAAGAGGUAAAUGACAUGCUUUCCCAUACACCAUUUUGUACGGAGACAUGCCCAUGGGAUUCUUAUAGGCAGUUCUAUAAGCCCACAGUGCAUCAUCGAGCUUCUUAGACCAAUUCUUUCUAGACCUGUUGACAGUCUUUUGCAGAAUUAGUUUAAUCUGUCUGUUGCUUAGCUCUACUUGACCACUUGAAUGAGGGUGACAGGGAGACGCAAUUCUAUGGUUGACAUCGUACUUAGCAAGCGUUUUACGGAAAGCACCAUAAAUGAAAUGUGAACCACCGUCGGUCAUUAGAUAUCUAGGAACUCCAAAUCUAGGGAAGAUAACUUCUUUCAGCAUCUUGAUAGAGGUGUUGUGAUCAGCACUACUAGUGGGGAUAGCUUCUACCCACUUAGUGACGUAAUCAACAGCAACUAGGAUAUGAGUAUACCCGUUGGAUUUUGGAAAGGGUCCCAUAUAAUCAAAGCCCAAGACAUCAAAUGGUUCAAUGACAAGUGAAUAGUUCAUAGGCAUUUCCUGACGUUUGCUAAUAUUACCUAUUCUUUGACAUUCGUCACAAGACAAGACAAACUUACGUGCAUCCUUGAAGAGAGUGUGCCAAUAGAAACCUGAUUGCAAUACCUUGUGUGCAGUUCUAUCUCCCGCAUGGUGUCCUCCGUAGGCCUCGGAGUGACACUUCUGUAGGAUAUGUCCCUGUUCAUGUUCAGGUACACAACGUCUAAUAACACCAUCUACUCCUUCCUUAUAAAGGUGAGCAUCAUCCCAAAAGUAAUGUCUCAAGUCAAAGAAGAAUUUCUUCUUUUGCUGGUACGUGAAACUAGGUGGUAUGUAUUUGGCAACGAUAUAGUUUGCAUAAUCAGCAUACCACGGUGCACUACGUGAAGCAUUGAUGACAUUCAGUUGCUCAUCGGGAAAGCUAUCAUCAAUAGGUUGUGGGUCAUCAAGAACGUUCUCCAACCUAGACAAGUUAUCUGCUACGGGGUUAUCAGCACCCUUUCUGUCGACAACGUGCAAAUCAAAUUCUUGUAUCAAGAGAACCCAUCUGAUAAGUCUAGGUUUAGCGUCCUUCUUCUCCAUGAGGUAUUUAAUAGCAGCGUGAUCAGUGUGAAUAGUGACUUUGGAAUCAACUAUGUAAGACCUGAACUUUUCACAUGCAAACACGACUGCUAAAAAUUCCUUCUCCGUAGUGGCAUAGUUUCUCUCGGCACUGUCUAGAGUUUUACUAGCGUACUGAAUAACAUUCAACUUCUUAUCGACUCUUUUCCCUAGAACAACGCCAACAGCAUAAUCACUAGCGUCACACAUGAUCUCAAAAGGCAAGUUCCAAUCAGGUGGUUGAACAAUAGGUGCAGUUGUCAAAGCCCUCUUAAGUAUUUCGAAGGCUUCCUCACAAUCAUCAUAAAAAAAAGGAAUAUCCUUUUGCAAGAGAUGGUAAGAGGCCUAGAAAUCUUAGAGAAGUCUUUAAUGAACCUUCUAUAGAAACCAGCAUGACCAAGGAAACUUCUUAUACCUUUGAUAUCUGUGGGGUAUGGCAUUUUCUCGAUUGCAUCAACCUUAGCCUUAUCGACUUCAAUACCUCUUUCAGAAAUUUUAUGUCCUAAGACGAUGCCUUCAUUAACCAUAAAGUGGCGCUUCUCCCAAUUCAAGACAAGAUUGGUGUCUUUACAUCUCUGUAAGACUCGAUCAAGGUUGCUGAGGCAAUCAUCAAAGGAAGACCCGUAAACGGAAAAGUGAUCCAUGAAAACCUUGACAAUCUUUUCACAAAAGUCAGAGAAUAUAGCCAUCAUACAUCUUUGAAAGGUGACAGGUGCAUUACAUAAGCCAAAAGGCAUACGUCUAUAAGCAAAGGUACCGAAAGGGCAGGUGAAAGUGGUUUUCUCCUGAUCGGAUUGUGCAACUGGUAUUUGGGAGAAACCAGAAUAACCGUCUAGAAAGCAGAAGUGUGUGUGUUUAGACAGCCUUUCUAGCAUUUGGUCGAUAAAAGGCAGAGGGUAAUUAUCUUUCCUAGUGGCUUUAUUCAACUUCCUAAAAUCGAUCACCAUCCUAUAGCCAGUAAGAAUCCUCUGUGGGAUCAAUUCAUCAUUAUCAUUAGGGACAACGGUAAUACCUCCCUUAAUAUGGGACGUAAUGCACCGGACUCACCCAAUCGCUAUGAGCAACACGAUAGAUAAUACUCGCUUCCAGGAGCUUUAGUAUUUCUUUCCUUACUACCUCUUUCAUCUUAGGAUUUAAUCUCCUUUGAUGAUCAGCAACUGGUUUGAAAUCAGGAUCAGUUUUGAUUUUGUGCUGGCAUAGAGUGGGACUAAUGCCCUUAAGAUCAUCAAGAGUAUAUCCAAUAGCAACACGGUGCUUCCUCAGAGUUUUUAAUAACUUCUUUUCUUCAUGCUCUGAGAGGCUAGCACUAAUUAUAACAGGAUAUAUCUCUUCUUCUUCAAGAUAGGCAUACUUAAGAGUAUCAGGCAACUAUUUAAGCUCGAACACAGGAUCACCCUUUUGUGGGGGCGGAUCCCCAAGCAGUUCAACAUGCAAGUUAUUCUUAAGGAUAGGAUAUUGUUCUAAGACAACUCUAUCUAUCUCAUCCCUUUCAUCCAUAUGCAUAUCAUUUUCAUGCUCAAGCAAGUAUUGCUCUAAGGGAUCAGUAGGAGGCACAGCAAUAGAAGCUAAGGCAAUAGUUUCAUCUCUACUAGGCAACUCCUUUUCAUGAGGUUGUCUACCAAACUAAGAGAAAUUGAACUCGUGUGACAUACCUUCAAAGCCAACAGUGACAGUUUGCUUCUCACAAUGAGAAAAGGUCUACCAAAUAUGAUGGGACAAAAGCUAUCUUGUGCGGUAGCAAGAACGAGGAAAUCAAUAGGAUACUUCAUUUUACCACACAAGACUUCAACAUCCCUAACAAUUCCCACAGGGUAGAUAGUAUCUCUACUGGCAAGCUGAAUAGUGACAUCAAUGGGCUCUAUCUCAAGAGGUGCAAUCUCAUCUUUGAUUUCAUCAUAUAAGGAUUGAGGUAUUGCACUAACACUAGCACCCACGUCACAUAAGCCAUGAUAACAAUGAUCCCCUAUCUUAACAGAAACAACAGGCAUGCUAACAACAUGCCUAUGUUUGUCUCUAGCGUGAGGUUUAGCAAUUCUAGCAACAUCUUCACAGAAGUGAAUAUUAUGUCCCUCAACAUCGUCGGACAGAAGAUAUUUGAUGAUAGCAAUGCUAGGUUCAACUCUAAUUUGCUCAGGGGGUGUAGGUGUUCUAAUAUAGCCCCUACGUAUCACAAUUGAAGCUUUAGAAUGAUCCUUUAUCCUAACAAGGAAAGGUGGUUUCUCAAUUUAAGCACUGGGAACAAUAGGAUCAUUAUAGGAAAUGACUUUCUCUUCAACUGGAGUGGGUUUAACUACAUUGACUUCUAAAGGAGGAUGAUGUUUAAACCACUUCUCUUUGGGGAGAUCAAUAUGAGCAGCAAAGGAUUCACACAAUGAAGCUACUAUCUCAGAGUCAAGUCCAUACUUAGCGCUAAAGUCACAAAAAGUAUUUGUCUCAACAAUGGAUUUAACGCAAUCAAACGUGAAAUUCAUACCUGACUCCUUACCUUCAAGCUCCCAAUCUUCAGAGUUGCGUUUAAUUCUCUCCAAUAAAUCCCACUUGAAGUCAAUAUCUCUCUUCAUAAAAGAACCGGUACAAGAAGUGUCAAGCAUGGUGCGAUCAUCAUGAGAAAGCUGAGCAUAGAAAUUCUGAAUGAUAAUUUCUCUCUAGAGCUCAUGAUUGGGGCAUGAAUAUAGCAUUGAUUUAAGCCUCCCCCAAGCUUGAGCGAUGCUUUCUCUGUCACGAGGCCAAAAAUUAUAAAUAUAAUUCCGAUCACGAUGUACUAAAUGCAUAGGAUAAAACUUUUGAUGAAAUUCCAAUUUCAACCGACUGUAGUCCCAUGGUCCAGUAUCAUCACAUAGCCUAUACCAUGUCAACGCCUUAUCCUUCAAAGAUAAAGGAAAGACCUUCUUCUUGACCUCAUCCUCGGGCACACCUGCAAGCUUAAAUAAACCACAAACUUCAUCUACAUAGAUCAGAUUCAAGUCUGGAUGUGAUGUUCCAUCUCCUGUAAAAGGAUUAGCCAACAGUUUCUCAAGCACACCCGAAGGAAAUUCAAAGCAAAUAUUUUUCAGUAGGUGCAGCGGGUUGAGGAGAAACUAUUUGUUCUUCCGUUCGAGGUGAAGAUACCCCUAACAAGCCCCUCAAAGGAUUAGUAUCCAUAGUGACAAGUGACAAUAAAUUUCAGCACACUAUAUGAACGUUUCCUUACCAAGUUCCACUUACCAAAGGCGCUUCACUCCCCGGCAACGGUGCCAGAAAAGAUUCUUGAUGACCCACAACUAUAGGGGAUCCNNNNNNNNNNNNNNNNNNNNNNNNNNNNNNNNNNNNNNNNNNNNNNNNNNNNNNNNNNNNNNNNNNNNNNNNNNNNNNNNNNNNNNNNNNNNNNNNNNNNGCAUGCAAGCUUUAGAAUGAUCCUUUAUCCUAACAAGGAAAGGUGGUUUCUCAAUUUAAGCACUGGGAACAAUAGGAUCAUUAUAGGAAAUGACUUUCUCUUCAACUGGAGUGGGUUUAACUACAUUGACUUCUAAAGGAGGAUGAUGUUUAAACCACUUCUCUUUGGGGAGAUCAAUAUGAGCAGCAAAGGAUUCACACAAUGAAGCUACUAUCUCAGAGUCAAGUCCAUACUUAGCGCUAAAGUCACAAAAAGUAUUUGUCUCAACAAUGGAUUUAACGCAAUCAAACGUGAAAUUCAUACCUGACUCCUUACCUUCAAGCUCCCAAUCUUCAGAGUUGCGUUUAAUUCUCUCCAAUAAAUCCCACUUGAAGUCAAUAUCUCUCUUCAUAAAAGAACCGGUACAAGAAGUGUCAAGCAUGGUGCGAUCAUCAUGAGAAAGCUGAGCAUAGAAAUUCUGAAUGAUAAUUUCUCUCUAGAGCUCAUGAUUGGGGCAUGAAUAUAGCAUUGAUUUAAGCCUCCCCCAAGCUUGAGCGAUGCUUUCUCUGUCACGAGGCCAAAAAUUAUAAAUAUAAUUCCGAUCACGAUGUACUAAAUGCAUAGGAUAAAACUUUUGAUGAAAUUCCAAUUUCAACCGACUGUAGUCCCAUGGUCCAGUAUCAUCACAUAGCCUAUACCAUGUCAACGCCUUAUCCUUCAAAGAUAAAGGAAAGACCUUCUUCUUGACCUCAUCCUCGGGCACACCUGCAAGCUUAAAUAAACCACAAACUUCAUCUACAUAGAUCAGAUUCAAGUCUGGAUGUGAUGUUCCAUCUCCUGUAAAAGGAUUAGCCAACAGUUUCUCAAGCACACCCGAAGGAAAUUCAAAGCAAAUAUUUUUCAGUAGGUGCAGCGGGUUGAGGAGAAACUAUUUGUUCUUCCGUUCGAGGUGAAGAUACCCCUAACAAGCCCCUCAAAGGAUUAGUAUCCAUAGUGACAAGUGACAAUAAAUUUCAGCACACUAUAUGAACGUUUCCUUACCAAGUUCCACUUACCAAAGGCGCUUCACUCCCCGGCAACGGUGCCAGAAAAGAUUCUUGAUGACCCACAACUAUAGGGGAUCAAUCGUAGUCCUUUCGAUAAGUAAGAGUGUCGAACCCAACAAGGAGCAGAAGGAUCUGACAAGUGGUUUUCAGCAAGGUAAAAUCUGCAGGCACUGAAAUUGUCGGUAACAAGUGAUUGUGUGGUGAGAUGAAUCGUAGCAAGCAACAAGUAACAAAAGUAGCAACGGUGCAGCAAAAUGGCCCAAUCCCUUUUAUAUCAAGGGACAAGCCUGGACAAAGUCUUAUAGGAGGAAAAACACUCCCGAGGACACACGGGAAUUUCUGUCAUGCUAGUUUCAUCAUGUUCAUAUGAUUCGCGUUCGUUACUUUGAUAGUUUGAUAUGUGGGUGGACCGGCGCUUGGGUACUGCCCUUACUUGGACAAGCAUCCCACUUAUGAUUAACCCCUCUCGCAAGCAUCCGCAACUACGAAAGAAGAAUUAAGACAAAGUCUAACCAUAGCAUUAAACUAGUGGAUCCAAAUCAGCCCCUUGCGAAGCAACGCAUAAACUAGGGUUUAAGCUUCUAUCACUCUAGUAACCCAUCAUCUACUUACUACUUCCCAAUGCCUUCCUGUAGGCCCAAAUAAUGGUGAAGUGUUAUGUAGUCGACGUUCACAUAACACCACUAGAGGAAAAACAACACACAACAUAUCAAAUUACCGAACGAAUACCAAAUUCACAUGACUACUAUUAGCAUGACUUAUCCCAUGUCCUCAGGAACAAAAGUAACUACUCACAAAGCAUAAUCAUAUUCAUGACCAGAGAGGUAAUGAGUAGCAUCAAGGAUCUAAACAUCAACUAGCAUCAACUACAAAGAGUAAUCAACGCUACUAGCAACCUUACAAGUACCAAUCGGAGUCGCGAGACGGAGAUUGGUUACAAGUGAUGAACUAGGGUUUGGAGAUGAGAUGGUGCUGAUGAAGAUGUUGAUGGUGAUGAGUCCCAUCCGAUGAGAGGACUGUUGGUGAUGACGAUGGCGAUGAUUUCCCCCUCUGGGAGGGAAGUUUCUCCGACAGGAUCGUCCUGCCGGAGCUAUAGCUUCGUUCUGCUCAAGUUCCGCCUCGUGGUAGCGACGAAACCACGAAAAAGCUCCUCCUUGAUUUUUUCCUAGACGAAACCCUCCAUAUAGCAAAAGAGGGGGGCAAGUGGGCCAGCAGGGUGCCCACAAGCCCCCAUGGCGCGGCCUGGGGGGGGGGGCGUGGCCGCGCUGUGCAGGCUUGUGGCCACCCCCUGGCGCCCCUCUGGCACUUCUUCGGCCCAGUAUUUUUGAUAAAUCGGAAAAAAAAAAUCCUCGUUGAUUUUUACGGCGUUUGGAGUUGCGCAGAAUAGGUAUCUCAAACUUGCUCCACUUUCAGGCCAGAAUUCCAGUUGCCGAUAUUCUCCCUCUUCAUGUAAACCUUGCAAAAUUAGAGAGAAAAGGCAUAAGAAUUGUACCGUGAAGUGAAAUAACAGCCCAAGAAGCGAUAAAUAUCAACAUGAAAACAUGAUGCAAAAUGGACGUAUCAGCGGUUGAGUUUCAUCUCCCGCAUCGUGUGAUGCAUCAAUUUGGGUUGUUUCAGCCACACCCACCGGAGUGGGUGGACACCGACACACAACUUCACAGGUAACAAAAUCAUGCACAAUAAAUAACUACUGAUGGGUUUUGUUUUUAGUGUUGAGCAAGCUACUGAUGGGUUUUGUAAAAAGCAGGUUGGAUAGGAGGAGGCAGCGAAAGAUCAAGGAUUGGCAUAAGCAUCAUAAGAACUAUGUCAUCAUGUUCGAGCAAAGUGUGCAGGCAGCUACGAGUACGCAAGGAACCCAGCACCGCGAGCAUUGUCCGCUUGCGUUCAACAACUACGUAAGAUGGUUUCAGGAGAGUACUCGCGUCGAGAUUUGUCCGUCGGCUUACGAGGAGGACAUAUUGGAAGAAUCCACUGAGUACGAUGCACUUGCCCAUGGCGAAUACAACAAGCUAAUUCGCGAAGGGUACCAAACUUCCUUCGCCCCUGUCCUGAACUUUGUGGUAAGUGUGCUCACCUAUGUUAAGUAUGAACGCUAGUACACAUAUUCACUUGCCUUACAUGUCAUUUUCUUGUGAUCAUAGCGCAAAGAGGUCAGGAAACAAGCUGAUGAGUCCGAAGCUAUUCUAGACAAGACACCUGGAGGAAAAAAGGGAGAAUCUGCACUUCGUCUUUUCAUAAAGGUGUUGUGUCAUUAUUAAGAUUUUGCCGGCGAAUGCAACAUACGGUACCUUAUAUAUGUCAUUUAUAUUUGAAUCUAACAGGAACAGGGCAAGAAGUUGCGGCGCCUAUCCAACAUUUUAGGUUGCUGUGACCCUGAAUAUGUUUCACCUUUGAGAUCCGGUUCAUCCCAAAGAAAUACUCUAGACGAUUCAACUUCUUCGGGGGCUCGUAUGGACGAUGGUGACAUUACCUCGGCAGCUCAUUUAGAGGACGAUGUUGACACUCCAGAGGUAUGACAUAGCCAUCAUACAUUGUGCACUUUUAACCUUCGUAUGUAUGACGAUAUCGUUUUCGCAUCAUAGGUUGCGGACGAAAUGAUGUUGAAGGCUUUCCAAUGCUCCGCUUACAUGUUGAAGCCUAGGAAGAAAUUUAGGCGGUACUCACCGGAUGACUAUGCGCACAAAGGAAAGAACCCGGUCGUCGGGGGCUCUCGUUUGUCAAGGAUGAGAAGCAUGGACGAUGAGGAUGACGAUGAGUUGGAUGAACCGGAGCAAUUUCUAGUUGUGAGACGAAAGAAGCUAGCUUCUAAGAGGGGACAAGGCCCCAAGAUGUGAACCGGAGCCAUUUGGAGUUGUGAAGCAUUUGCUUACCGUGGGAGUUGUCGUGGGAGUUGCACUUGUGUUGUGAACCAUUUGCUUACCGUGGGAGUUGUGAACCACUUGCUAUGAAUUGUGGGUGUUGCACUUCUAAGAGGGUUUAAUGCUAUGAAUUGUGAACCAUUUGCACGUCUAGACAAACAUACGAUGUUUCAAACAUCCUGAAAUUUGACAUUUAGACAAAGUGUAUAAUACACAAAUUUGAUAGACAAACAAUUAGAAAUAUUAUUCUUCAUGAAUCAGCAUGCCUCUUUUAUUUAAACGUAAAUCGGUAUGGCACAAAAUACAAAUAUCAAGCCAUCUUUCAUUUCUGUAGCAUAGCAUAAAUUAUAUAUUCUCUUACCAAUAUACACCAUUUUUUGAUAUGUAGUUUCCAAACAAACAGAAUCUCCCACAAGUGAAUUUCUGUAUAUGCAUGAAGUGUUCAGGCUGACUUCAGGCCAUCGUAUUUUUUGUCAGAUAUAUAAUGGUUCAGAAUUCGCAAGUCAUAUUAUUAUAAUAUAAUCCAAUAGAAGCUCGAAUCCCCUUGUUGGACAAUAAAAAUUUAAAGGGUUCGUCAUUAUUCUCCAUUUGCGUAGACACGAAUGCAAAUACAAUUUUUGUACCAAUAAAAUUCAAAAAACGACUAUCGUUAUGAGAAAACCAAGUCCUCAUCCAUAAAGGUGAGAAGCCGUCAUUGUGAGACUGCACAGAUAACAACCUCAUGGGACUAUGAAGACUAAAAUCUGAAACAAACUGCAUAGCAUCUUGUCAAUGACAUUCUUCAAGAAAAAAACCCUAUUAGAAAUGCUUAUGUUAAGGAAACGAUAACAGGACCAAAGUAGGGCGAGACACUCACAGUUGUAAUGAUUAUACCUCGCAUCCACACUUGAAUCUUGGAGUUGCUGGUUGUUGAUAUUGAUUUCAUGAACACAAUUUUUAAGUGCAGCCAUGUUGCCCUUCUUACUGUUAUGUGGAAUCGAAAGAUUGAAAUCAUUCCUGAGCAUGGGAUUUAUGUGCAGCCUUGUCCCCUUUCACUGUUCUACGGAUCAAAAAUUCAGAACGAAAAGCAACAAGAUCUUGAGAUACAUCAUAUAGCAUCAGGAGAAAAAAUGGCUUAAAUUUGAGAAGGAACAUAAACAGACAUGCAGUAAGCCUGAAGCAAUAACAAAUUCAAGGUCCCAGAUUAUGAGUAACUAAAUUCACAAAAAAAGAAGAUUAUGAGUAAGUAAUGCUUAAUUACAACCUCAUGAAAAUGGUAUCAAUGCGGCUAAAGUUCAGGGAAAACAAUUCUUACAUUCUAACAUAUUCUCUGCACUAAGGCUAACUGAUGCAGUGAACACACAUCAUGUUACAACUUGAAUCUUGUGGCUCGCUUUUUUGUAUUUUUACUACAUAGUUUGUAUAUGCGCAAUAAGAAGAUUCCAUGUCGUUUUUGUCCAAACAAAUAGUCCAGUUCUAAUAUUCUCUUAACAAAACAAAAAUGCAGCUCAGAUGACAUUAAAAACAUAAAUCUUCACUUCCGAGGUAAAGAAGUAUACAAAGAAGUGUGAUCCACAUACCUCUGAUCACCAAAACAGAAAUCAGGGAGGAUAACAUAGUGUCCUCAUAGUUGUGUCAUUUGUGUCAUUUGUUGCUAAGUUGGAGGUCAGUAUUGACAUAGAAGUUAAUUAGUGGAGUUAGAUAGAACUGCUAGCAUUUAGAUCUUAUUAUAUAUGAAAUUAUAGCACAUUGGUCUGAUAAUCUUAUGGUGUUGAACCCAAAUGUUGAAUUGUUCAGCAAUUCAUAUCCAAGACGUCAAAGUAAGUACAAACACCCAUUUUAGUUACAUAGAUACAGAGGAUCCAUUAGCGAUUCCAAAUAGGCUGCCCAACCAAAUACACCCCCCUAGAGUAGAAGGAAGAUGCUUACAUGUAAUUACAAUAUUAAGAUAAACUUAUCCUGCGAACUGAAAAGCCAUGACCUACUAAUUAGCUAGUUCUAAAAUGGUCCGUUACAAUAUGUAAAAAUACGUCUAGUAUUGCCAGGAAACAGAACUAUAAGGAAAUGCAUAAAUGAACGUUUACCUUUAUGGUUCUGGUGAUGCACGUGCACGAACGCUACCUCCUCAUUUCAUUAAAACUUCUUGGGCCUCGCGCAAUUUGUCGAAGGUAAAACACGGGUCUUCAUCCGCCGCCGGCGACCAAAACGAUUAGCCACGCCACCACACCUCUCUUUUCUUUUCUCUCUUCCUUCAUUCUCUAUUAACCGGUGCAACCGUACAUGAGACAUCACGCCGCCAUCGAAAUCGCCUGCAACCGCCGCCGCCGCCCCAAAUCCGGUCGCCGCCGCCUAUACCCAACACCGACAGAAGUGUCGGUGUCCUGCCGAGAUCCUCCGUGUCGCCUCGCUUCGUCGCAAGUUGUCGUCGCCGUCGCCUUCCACGGAUCCGGCGAGAUGCGCCGCGAACACCUGGAUCCCACAUCCCCGACCGCCUCGAGCCGCGUCACCCACACUCCCGCCCGACCCAGCAGUCGCGGACUCCGUGCUUAUGGAGAGGCUGGUGUGCGUUAGGCGGCGGCCGAGUGGAGGAGCGCCGGCCGCCGGGGCGGCGAGCCGCUCCGAAGGAUGGGAGCGGAGGUGCCUGAUAGUAGCGCCUGCAAUUUUUUAAUGAUCCAUGAUGAGACUGUGUAUCCGUAUGUUCGACGAAGCAUUGUACGCAGACGCGCGUGCAAUAUUCCUUUGCGGCGUUCAGUCCUACGAAAUUGCUAAUUGCACACAUAGCUCGGGAUUAAAUUAAUCAUAACCAUUAGAUAUUAUUCAGAGGGGCUAAUCUGACGAUGAAAGUUAGGUUGGGUACAUCUACCGGGUGACUUUAAAAAAGUUUCAGUUUGCUUGUUUAAUAAUAGGACAUGACAUUUGGACUUAUAAUUUUCUUUCCGUUUUUGCCUUAGACCUCUUAACAAAAUGAUUGUGUGCAUCAAAUGAUGUAAAGACGGUGGUAUUACUCCUUUAAAAAUAAAAACACACGCACACACCAUGAAAAAUAUAAGAGCGUGCGCGCGACACCUAGGCUGUCACAGAUGAUCCCGCAUCCCUGAUGCGAGCACUUGCUAGGUUGUGUGUGUUUAAAAACCUCUAGUAUUCUAAUCCUCUGCGUUUGCAUAUAGUAGCGCAAAGGAACCUGCCCCUCUUCCCUCUCUCUUACGCCUGUGUUUUGUGCUACUAGCUAGCAGCUCAGCUCAUCGCGGGACAUGAAGAAGGAUGAAGAAGAUGCCAAUGCCACCAUCCCCUUCAAGUCCCCGCCGUCUCCUCUCCGCCAUGGCUGGCCUCUCCGCAUGCCGCGGACACCGCUCCGGUGACCUCUUCGUCUUCGUCUCCGUCGUCAUCUCGGUUCUUCCGCAGGGCAAAGGCAUGGAGGCAGCCGUGCAAGCUUAGCACAGAAAAAUGGUGGAGAGUUGUGUAUUGGCAUGCGGGAAAGCCAGGCAAUUUUUUUCCCUCCGUUCCGACUUGUUUCCGCUUUCCUCUCCUUGCUAAUUGCUGUCCUUGUUCUUGCUGCUCGCUCUAGGUCGCUUCGACCUUCAGACUAUUUGUAUCUCCUUUUGUUGCGAAUUUUAAGGCCAUUCCAUCCAUCGAUGUUACUAUAUAUCAUCGAGAACGAUAUGGCCAUUCAGAUUCUAUACAAUCAUGUGUAGUUAAGUUCAUCCUUGCAGCGUGCGUGGAGACAAAUCAGGUGUCCAGUGCUAGCAUGCAUGUUGCAGAUACCAUCCUUGCAUUUGCAUUUGCGAUUUAAUCUUGGUGGAUUAAAGACGAGCGAUACGCGAGAGGCGAGACAGUGAAUCAUGCCUCUCGAUCUUGCCUGUUAGUAUAUCUAUUCUAUAUUAUUUGGAGCAGAAUGCCAAUGCAGAUGCUAUUUCGUAUACUGUCGAUUGUACUGUACCUGUUUCUCCAUUUCAUUUCAUCUCGAUUAAUUGCGAGUAAUCAUACAGGAUCUGUAGAGCAGUGAUGAAUAGAUUUGCUUUACAGUGUAAACUGGAGAUGUUCGUCCUUGCAGGAAUCAUUGAGCAACCAUUAUGCACGUAGUAGCUUUUGUCUUUUAGGUGCCUUUUCUUUCUUUAGCGUGUAGGCUUGAGGCUCUUCACUGCUCAUCAGUGGACCAUCAGCCCCUGCAGCUAGCUGCGGUUGCGCUUUGUUCUCUGCUGCAUGCUGGCGACUCAAGUCACUGGACCUGUAUCUGUAUGAUUGAGCAGGAGGCACUAGUUGUUGAGGACUUGAGAAUAGUUUUCUCUUCAGUAGGAGCCAGCCACCCCAAGUAUCAUUCAUUUGUUGUAGCUGAGAUAAACUUGUUUUCGUUUUUGUCAUCUCUUCGAGUUUUUUAAUAUUAAAACUUUGUCUUUUGUCAUUUUCCAUUUAUGCUGUUUUCUGUAUCAGUAUGAAUGUAUGAUGGUGUUAUAAUGAAUGUAUGAUGGUGUUAUAN